UUGGAGAACGCCCAUUUAUACAAACAAAUAUAAGUGGGCAAAAUCAAUACUCAUAAUAAAGACACAAAGACGACUAAAAACCUUAUUAAACUAGAUCCAGUAUGCAGCAUAACAGAAAAGGGGGUAUUUCAAGGAGUAGAGCGAGAAGGUGGUGGAGAAAAGAAAGGAAUAGAAGGAACUGCAGUUGGGAUUGAGGGAAUGCUUGGCAGAGGCGACAGUCCUCUUGGCAAUGUGGUAGGAAGUGGAGGAAGCGCCCCAGGGUUUGGGAGAUAAGGGAAAGAUGGCAAUGGUGGAAAAGAGAAAGGAAUAGGGGGAAUUGCAGUUGGGAUUGUGGGGACUGAGGGAAUGCUUGGCAGAGGGGGCAGUCCUGUUGGGAAUGUGGUAGGAAGUGGAGGAAGCGCCCCAGGCCAUGGGAAUGAUUGUCGGGAUGGCGUUGGGAGAUUAGGGAAAGAUGGUAAACUUUGCGGUUGAGGCUGCUGCAGAAGGUGACGAGCUGCUACCCCAACAUCAAUGCUUGCAAAUGACAAAGCAAUCAAGAAUGCUAAAGCAAGGAAAUUGAAAGAGGCCAUUUUUGUUCAGAGAUUUCGAAACAAAUGAAGCAGAUGAAACAAAGUUCUUUAUCUGAAUAGUUGUGGGUGAAGAAAACAAAGCAUGGUAUUGAGGUUUAUAUAGGCAUUGGAGCAGUGAAUAGAAAUCCCCUGCCCCUAAACAAUGCUCCAUGCAUGCCCCCAAACCAAAAUAGCUCCACAUGUUUUUUAUUUUUUUCAUUUUAAUUUUUUAAAAUAAAAACUCUGUAAUGAUUUGAAUUAAUUUUUAACUUAUUAUCAACGUUUUUAUUUUUGUUUUAUUUUUAUUUUACAUUAAUUUUACCUAUUCUUUAAUUAACAAAUUUAUAAUGACUUAGAGUUAAUUUGAGAGAUUUUUUUUUUAUAAUUGGUCUUAUAAUAAAAUUUUACAAAGCAGAAACAAGUUCCACUGUGAAAACAUGAUCCUUAAAUUUUUGGAGAUAACCAUGUUAAUUUUUUAAUCCCAACCAAAAUUCUAAAUAAUUCUUUUAUGUCAUAUUAAAUACACGUAACGUCUUAUAAAAAUUGUCAAUAAAUUAUGCAUAGUGACAAGGUUAUUCAAAUCUAAUUUCAUUGUUAAUACCUAUUUCUAUUUUUCUUCUACUGUCUUCAACUUUAAAUAUAAAGGGAUUGAAAUUUUAAGAAUUGAGAUUUCUUUUCUCUGUAUUAGUGGACGUUUGAUUUUUUAUUUUAUUUUUUUAUUGGAAUUGAUACAUAUCUUUUCAGAUUUAUCAAUAUAUUUUAAAAUUUUAUAAGAUAUGUAUAUAAAUAUAUUAAAAAUAUAAAAUGAAUGAAACUAAAUACAUUUCACAUAUAAAAUAUUCAUUAAUCAACUUAAGAAAUAAAAAUUUAUCAUUCAAAUAAUCCAAAAUUAUUACUAAUAAUCUCAUUUAAUAUGAAAUUUUAAGGAUUUAGCUCAUUUACUUAAUAAAAGUAGUUGAAAGGUGAAUGAAUAUUUUUUUUAUAAUCGGGUGAAUGGUUUUUUUCUUAAUUAUAUUUUUAAUGUGAAAGUAUAUUCUAAUUUUUUUUAAAAACUUUACAUUCCGAUGUAGCAUUUUUAAUUAGUCACGUUUCAAUUAAGUUUUUAGCAUAAUAGAAAAUAAUUAAAAGUUUAAUAUUUUUAAUAUUAUUCAUGCGCAGGACGGUGCACUAUGUUCUGGCAGGUGUGACUGGAAUUGAUCGGAAUGAGUUGGUGCAAUUGGUACGGACCGAAAUUUUUACCAGUGUAGAAAAAGGGUGUUGGGUGUUUCACAAUAUUAUUGAAAGCAAACCAAAAAGACCAAGAACCGAUGAACCCGAGAACUAGAGUAAACUGCAGUUAAACUACAAAUCAUCUGUCGAUUAAGUCGUAUUUUCACAUUCUUUAAACCGGAAAAACAAAAAUUACACUUCAAAUCCCUUGAGCCAUUGUUAUACUUUUUCUCUGCACUCAAUGAAAUAAAACACAACAUAAAAAAAAUAAGCACCAUCUCUUUUAUUACUUUUACUACUAAAAUAACUUUUUUUUUCUUGUGAAAAACCUAAGAUGGACUUAUAACAUAUAAUAAAAAGGGAAAAAAAAGACAAAUUAGGAAAGAUGAAAGAUGGGGAGAGGGUUUUAAAAUUCAAAGCCGUCAAAAUAGAUGAGUUUGGGGUUAUUAGUAUUAUUUUAUAUUGUUCAAUAGAAAAUUAAUUGUAUCGGUGGUUGAACCUGUGAGAUCAAAAAUUAAUUAAUUGAUUAAUUUAAUUAUCGAUCUAAUUUUAAAAAUAUUAAUAUUUCGGUAUAAAAUUAAUACAGUGCACACAAAUUAAUAUAACCGAAAUCUGUACGAAACCGAGCACCUUAAUUUAAUACAUAAUUUGACAUUCAUAUAAAAUAUUAUCUUGGAAAUAUAUUGAAAGAGGAAAGUAAUCGUAUGUAAAUGGAUAACUUGGAAGAUAUAAUGAAGCAGGAAUCAUUAUAUUAACAGUGGCAUCUUCUCGAUGUACGACUGCUCACUAUUUUGACUGCAUUUAUCGUUUGAUUCUUUUCUUAAUUAGCCAAACUCAUGUUAACAAUGGUAUAACAGUAAUUAAUUACUUCAUGGACAGAACAUCAAUAUAUAAAUACCCCAUAUAUAAUAAGCAACAACGUAUCAAAAUACACCAAAUAAUGGGAAUUGGAGAACGCCCAUUUAUACAAACAAAUAUAAGUGGGCAAAAUCAAUACUCAUAAUAAAGACACAAAGACGAUUAAAAGCCUUAUUAAACUAGAUCCAGUAUGCAGCAUAACAGAAAAUGGGGUAUUUCAAGGAGUAGAGCGAGAAGGUGGUGGAGAAAAGAAAGGAAUAGAGGGAACUGCAGUUGGGAUUGAGGGAAUGCUUGGCAGAGGCGGCAGUCCUCUUGGCAAUGUGGUAGGAAGUGGAGGAAGCGCCCCAGGGUUUGGGAGAUAAGGGAAAGAUGGCAAUGGUGGAAAAGAGAAAGGAAUAGGGGGAACUGCAGUUGGGAUUGUGGGGACUGAGGGAAUGCUUGGCAGGGGGGGUAGUCCUGUUGGCAAUGUGGUAGGAAGUGGAGGAAGCGCCCCAGGCCAUGGGAAUGAUUGUCGGGAUGGAGUUGGGAGAUUAGGGAAAGAUGGUAAACUUUGCGGUUGAGGCUGCUGCAGAAGGUGACGAGCUGCUACCCCAACAUCAAUGCUUGCAAAUGACAAAGCAAUCAAGAAUGCUAAAGCAAGGCAAUUGAAAGAGGCCAUUUUUGUUGAGAGAUUUCGAAACAAAUGAAGCAGAUGAAACAAAGUUCUUUAUCUAAAUAGUUGUGAGUGAGGAAAACAAAGCAUGGUAUUGAGGUUUAUAUAGGAAUUGGAGCAGUGAAUAGAAAUCCCCUGGCCCUAAACAAUGCCCCAUGCAUGCCCCCAAACCAAAAUAGCGCCACAUGUUUUUUAUUUUUUCCAUUUUAAUUGUAGUUCAUUUUUUAAAUAAAAUUUUUUUAAUGAUUUGGAUGAAUUUUUAACUUAUUAUCAACGUUUUUGUUUUUGUUUUAUUUUCUAUUAAUUUUACCUAUUCUUUAAUUAACAAAUUUAUAAUGAAUUGGAAUUAAUUUAACAGUUUUUUUUAUAAUCGUUCUUAUAAUAAAAUUUAAAAAGGUGGGAAUGAGUCCCACAAUGACAACAUGAUCCUUAAAUUUUGGGUGGUGGCAUGCCUUUAGUCAAAGGGUCAGAUAACAUUUGCUCAGUGUUAAUGUGCUCAAUGACGACUUUCUUUUCUUUAACAUGUUUCCUUAUGACUAGAUACUUAAAGUCGAUAGGUUUACUUCGACUUUCACUUUUUUACUCUUAGCCAUAAAGACAGCAAUUGAAUUGUCACAAUAUAUGAAAUAAUUGAAACCUAUAAUGACUCAGCUCAAAAAACUCGAGCCUCAAACCCAAAUUAAAUUAAAUCAAAAUCAUAAUUUAUUAUAUACAAUUGCAUAAAAUUAACAUAUUUUAAGUGUCAUAGUGCAUGUACAGCCCAAAUUUAGCUCGGGCCCCAAAACCUACCCAAACCCAAGUAACCAAUACAACUAGGGUUGAGCAAAAUUCGAUUCGACUCGAAAAAAUUGAAAAAAAAUUCGAAUUUCGAGUUAAACGAAUCGAGUUAUUCGAGUUAAUCGAGUUAUUCGAAUCAACUCGAUUUUUUUUUCGAAUUUCGAGUUCGAAUCGAGUUGAUUUUUCGAAUUCGAAUAACUCGAAUAAUUCGAAUAAUUCGAAUAUCAAAAUAUAAUAUUUUAGAGUUUUACCCUAAACUCCCAAACUUUUUUACUUUUCCCUCAAAACUUUUACUCCUUCCCACUUUUUCCCCAAAACUUUUACUCCCCUCCCCUCCCAACCCCCCAAUCUACCCAAAAUCUAUUUCCCACCAAAAUUUUACUCUUCCAUUCAUUUUUUUUUCCAAAAUUUUACUCUCAAAAACCCUCAAAACCUUUUAUUUUCUCCCAAAAUUUUUACUCCCUCCCACUUUUCCCCUAAAACUUUUAUUCUCUUCCCAUCCCACCUCCCAUCUACCCCAAACCCUCCCCCUCCAAUUUUUUUUUAAUAUUUUCCCUCCAAAAUUUUACUUCCCUUAUUUACUUUCCCUCAAACUUUUAUUCCCCAAAACUUUUUGUUUUCCCCCUAAACUUUUACUUCUCACCCUUUACUCUCAAAUAAAAAAUCAAAAUUAUCCAAAAAAAAUCACUAAACAUAAAUAGUAAUAAUUUUAUUUAUAUAUAAUAUUUAUAUUAUUAAAUUAAAUUUCACAUUUUAUAUUAUUUAUAUUAUUGAAUUGUUUAGUCAUAUUGAAUAUUUAUAUUAAAAUUGAAUUCUUAAUUAUGCCAUAAAAUAUUCGUGUUAAAAUUUUAUAUUGGUAUCAAUUUCAAAUUUUAUUUUUAAAAUAAAUUUUAUUAAAAAAAUCAUAUUUUUAUAUUUAAUAUAUUUUUUAAUUCCAAAAUACAUAGUGACAAGAAUCCGAAGAUAAUUGAAACAACUAAGCAAACAAAUAAGCUAACCAGUAUAUAAAAAAUUAAUAAAUAAAUUAUGAGGUGAUGAAAGUUAAUAAAAAAUUUGAUUAAGGUGGACAAAUUUUAUUACGAUGGGUGACAAUGGUUAUAAGGACCCAAAAUUAUUUUUUAAAAUUUAACUCGAACAAAUAUAUUCGAUUCGAUUCGAUUCGAAUUCCAUCUCACUCAACUCGAUUCGAGAAAACUUCAAAUAAAGUUAGGAUGAUAAAAUGAGAUUCGAAAACUCGAUUAACUCGAAAAUUUUCGAUUCAAUUCGAUUCGAUUCGAUCGAAUGCUCACCCCUAAAUACAACCCAAAUACAGACUAAAAAACCUAAGCCCAAAAACCAGCCCAAUAAGCCCAAAUCUAACCCUAGCCCAGAAACCCAAAUCAGAGACAAAAAAUAAAUUUUUCAAACCCUAGGUGCGCCGCACCUAGGGUUCUCUGCCCCGUUGGCCACCGCAUGCUAGGACCUGCUGCCACCGCCCUUGUCCCAUUUGCCUCUGACGCCUAGCCACUGCCACCGCCGCCUGCAGCACCAACUCCACUGCUCAACCCCUGCAAAAUGAAAACCAAACACGCAAAGCAGAAGCAAAAACAAUGCAAAAUAGUAGAAAAAAUAGAUAAAAAAAUGUAUUGUAAAUUGGCUAUUAAAGCCUGGAUCUCAGCCUUGUAAUCUUUCUUCUUUUGCUUUCACGAACGUUAGAAAAUAAAAACAAAAAAAAAGUUUCAAGAUGAUUAUCUUUAUUAUUUUAGAUUUCGAUUUUAUUUUAUUUUAUUUUCAUUUUAUCUUCUUAUUUUUAAGCACGAAAAUAAAAAAGAAAAGGAGAAAGAAACAUACCUGAAUCAGCCCUUAGAUCCGUCGUUAUCAGCCCUUCGACGCCGUCGGAUUCAGGUUUAGGGAAGGGCUAAGACCCUUUUUUUUUCUCCUUGUUUCCCCAUUCUAAGAUUUUGGUCUUUGAACGCGUUUCAACGCACUGAUCGAGAACGCCCUCUUGCAACGCCGGCCGUCAGCCACGGCGGCGCAAGCGAUGGUCCUGUUGGCUGAAUUUAGAGGGAUCGAGAGAGAGGCUAAGAGCUCUCUUUUUUUUUCUGAAAAAUGAAGUUGGAAAUGUUGUUUUUUUUUGUUUUUUUUACUAUUUAUAUAGGGUAUAAAACGAUGCCAUUUUGGACCUUUACAUCGGUGGCCAAAACGACGUCGUUUUGCCCUGACCCGAGCGGUGACCCGACCCUGGGGGGAGGAUCCGCGUGUUUUCUUAAAAAGGGAUAUUUUCGUGCGCGAUCCAUCUGCUUUUGCAAAGCGUUGCAAUUUGCCCUUUUUUCCUUCUUUUCUUUUAUUUCAAUUUAGCCGCAUAAUUUUAUUUUUGUUUCAUUUUAGUCCCGCGUAAAGUGAUGCAUUUUGAAGGACAGGAUAUUUCCUUUUUGGUCCCCCUGCUUUCCUGCGCAUCACAAAUUAAUCCUUUGCCUAUUUUAUUUUUGAUUUCUCCCCUGGGAUUUUGUUUUGUUUUCAAUUUAGUCCCGUUAUUAUUAUUAUUUAUUAAACUAAUUAGUUUUAUUAUUAUUAUUAUUAUUAUUGCAUUUAUUAUUAUUACCUACCUUAUUAUUAUUAUUUACCCAUUUAUACCGUUUUUAGAUUUUGUUAUAUAUAUACAUACUUACAUAUUUUUAAUUUUUAUAUAUGUACGUACUUAUAUUUUUUAUAUACUUUAUACUUUAUAUAUACAUAUAUACAUACAUAUUUUAAUAUAUUUUUAAACAUAUAUAUACAUUAUCAUUAUUUACUUGUUUAUAUAUAUAUUUUAAACUUUGUUGUAUUUAUACACAUAUAUUUUUAUAUUUUUAUAAUUUUUUUAUUUUCAUUAUUACUAUUAUUGUUUUAUUCAAAAUUUAUUUAUUUAUUUACAUGUCUAUUAUUAUUAUCAUUAUUUUUUUAAUGUUUUAGUUUUUAUUUGUUUAUUACUUGUUAUUGUGUAUACAUGAUUGAUUUUUUUUAUAUUUGUAUUCUUAUUUAUUUAUCUUUCUGUUUUUGCCCAUAUUAUUUUUACUUACAUUAUCAUAAUCGUUAUUCCAUUACAUCAAUUUUUACCCAGAUUCGUAAAAAAGAAAAUUUUGAAAAUAAAGGCAAUACUCAGUAUUUGGGAUUUUCGAGAGGAUUGAGCCCUAACGCAUUGGGUUCCAAUUUUCUUCGUUGAAUCUAAAUAAUCGAGAACGCUCUUUAAUCAAAAAACAUAAAUAAAAAGUUCAUUAUCGAGAAUUCAAUACGUUGUGUCCUAACGCAUUGCAUAUGACACGUUCUUUUCUCGAAAUAAUGAUUUUUCUAAAAAAUAAUAAAGGCAAUAUUCAAUGUUUAGAAUUUGAGAAAUUGUGCCCUAACAUAUUGGGUUGCGAUUUUUUCAUCUGACUUAAACAAUUGAAUAUCCUUUUAAAUUUUAUUGCACGAGUUUUUUGGGCAAAUUCAUUCUUGAGGAGGUGAAAUAUCAUGCCCUAACUCAUUGGGUGUGACAUUUUCUCUCUCCGAAAUGAGAGGGUCUUAACGGGUAAUUUGAUUUAUACAAGUUUUUUUAAUAAAUGAUUGUAUUUUAAAUCUCUUUAGAGUUUCUAAUUCUCGACACCAAGACACUAAAUAAUCAACUACGUACCAAUCUUGGGCGUUACGAGGGUGCUAAUCCUUCCUCACAUGUAAUCGACUCUCGAACCCAUUUUUCUGAAUUUAGUGGACCAAGAUCGUUGUUUUAAUAAAAUCAAAUCGUUUAUUAAAAACAACCACUUUUUAAGGUGGCCCAAUCACACCUCAUCAAAAAAGAUUUGUGGCAACUCCCAUUUUCGUUUCAUUUUCAAAACCCAAGUCGACCCCAUUUUCACAAAAAAUUGGUGUCAACAAUGCACAUUAAAUUAAAGUUUAUGUUUGACAUUAUAGAUUGAAGCAAUAUUCAUGUGUAAAAUUUUGAGAUUUAUUUCCUUAAUUAAAGUAAUAUUUCAAAUAGAAUACUUAAACAAUCCUCCAUGUUGGCAAACUUUAUGUACAUUAGAAACAAACUAAAUAAUUAGAAUAAAUCUAAAGUAUGGCUUACAUUUAAUUUAUUCACAAUGUGACUUAAACUUUGGCCUUCAAGAUUUCACGGUCUCAAAUUAUGUCUUAAAAAUUUUAAGAUCAUUUUAGCUUUGUUAAAAAAAAUCAAAAGUUUAGAAAGUUAGAAUUGUUGCUUGAGGCGUGAAUAUCCCUAGUCUUUAGGAUAUUCAUGGAUUUACUAUCUCUCAAGAUUUAAUUUGUAUCAUGCACAAUGAAAAAAUUUAAAAAAAAAUUUCCCAUUUGAAUGGAAUUGAGCUAUUAGGCUCAAGCCUCGUGUGCGCAUAUAUAUUCUCUUAUUUUGAGUCUUACAAGUUUAUAAUAAACCAAAUCUAUAUAAACGUCAUUUAACAAGUGUAUCUAAAAUAUGUUUAAUAUGUGUCAUUCUUUAAAAUACAUGAAAACUUCAAAUAUGGUUUAGGUCAUUUUCAGAUUUGUCUUAUUUUAGGUUCAAAUCAUUCGAAUUUGAGGCUAAGUUUUUCAUGUCUAAUCAUUAUUAAUCCGAAUCAUUUUAGAUUUUGAUCAGUUUAAGUUUCAAUUAUUUUGUGAUCAAAUUAUUUUAAGUUUAGAUAAAUUUGGGUCAAUUCGAAUUUGACUUAAUUACGUAAUUACCUUUUUUUUUAUAAUAAAUUGAGCUGACUGAAAUUUAGAUUGGAAUUUAUUUAGUGUGCCUUUGUGUUUAAGUUGAAAUUUAAACAUCUGUAUUAGAAAUACACAUGUUAAUACAAUUUUAUGUUAAAGACAAUAAUACGACAGAGUUGAUUUGGGAGAUAAACAUGUUAAUUUUUUAAUCCCAACUAAAAUUGUACAUAAUUCUUUUAUGUCAUAUUAAAUACAUGUAUAAAAAUUGUCAAUAAAUUAUGCCUAGCGACAACGUUAUUCAAAUCUAAUUUCAUUGUUAAUACCUAUUUCUAUUUUUCUUCUAUUGUCUUCAACUUUAAAUAUGAAGGAAUUGAAAUUUUAAGAAUUGAGAUUUCUUUUCUUUGUAUUAGUGGACGUUUGAUUUUUCGUUUGAUUUUUUUACUAGAAUUGAUGCAUAUCUUUUCAGAUUUAUCAAUAUUUUUUAAAAUUAUUUAAGAUAUGUAUAUAAAUAUAUUACAAAUAUAAAAUGAAUGAAACUAAAUGCAUUUCAAAUUUAAAAUAUUCAUUAAUAAACUUAAUAAAUAAAAAUUUAUCAUUCAAAUAAAUCCAAAAUUAUUAAUAAUAAUCCAUCAUUUAAUAUGAAUGGAUAUUUUUUUAUUUGAUGAUCGGGUGAAUGGUUUUUUCUUAAUUAUAUCUUGAAUGUGAAAGUAUAUUCCAUUUUUUUUUAAAUUUACAUUCCGAUGAAGCAUUUUUAAUUAGUCAAAUUUCAAUUAAGUUUUUAGCAUAAUAGUAAAUUAUUAAAAGUUUAAUAUUUUAAAUAUUAUUCAUGCACAGGACGGUGCACUAUGUUCUGGCAGGUGUGACUGGAAUUGAUCGGAAUGAGUUGGUGCAAUUGGUACAGACCGAAAUUUUUACCAGUGUAGAAAAAUGGUGUUGGGUGUUUCGCAAUGUUAUCGAAACCAAACCAAACAGACCAAGAACCGAUGAACCCGAGAACUAGAGUAAACUGCAGUUAAAUUGCAAAUCAUCAGCUGAUUAAGCCGUAUUUUCACAUUUUCUAGAUUGGAAAAACAAAAAUUUCACUUCAAAUCCCUUGAGCUUUUGUUACACUUCUUCUCUUAACUCAAUGAAAUAAAACAAACCAUAAAAAGAAUAAGCACCGUUUCUUUUAUUACUUUUUCUAUUAAAAUAUUAUUUUUUUUCUCGUGAAAAACCUGGACUUAUAACAUUCAAUCAAAGGAAAAAAAAGACAAAUUAGGAAAGAUGAAAGAUGGGGAGAGGGUUUUAAAAUUUAAAGCCUUCAAAAUAGAUGAGUUUAGCGUUAUUAAUAUUAUUUUAUAUUAUUCAAUAGAAAAUUAAUUGUAUCGGUGGUUGAACCUGUGAGAUCAAGAAUUAAUUAUUUGAUUAAUUUGAUUAUCGAUUUAAUUUUAAAAAUAUUAAUAAUUCGAUACAAAAUUAAUAUAGUGCAGACAAAUUAAUAUAACAGAAAAUUGUACGAAACGAGCACCUUAAUUUAAUACAUAAUUUGACAUUCAUAUAAAAUAUUAUCUUGGAAAUAUAUUGAAAGAAGAAAGUAAUCGUAUGUAAAUGGGUAACUUGGAAGAGAUGAUGAAGCAGGAAUCAUUAUAUUAAAAGUGGCAUCUUCUCGAUGUACGGCUGCUCACUAUCUUGACUGCAUUUAUCGUUUGAUUCUUUUCUUAAUUAGCCAAACUCAUGUUAACAAUGGUAUAACAGUAAUUAAUUACUUCAUGGACAGAACAUCAAUAUAUAAAUACCCCAUAUAUAAUAAGCAACAACGUAUCAAAAUACACCAAAUAAUGGGAAUUGGAGAACGCCCAUUUAUACAAACAAAUAUAAGUGGGCAAAAUCAAUACUCAUAAUAAAGACACAAAGACGACUAAAAACCUUAUUAAACUAGAUCCAGUAUGCAGCAUAACAGAAAAGGGGGUGUUUCAAGGAGUAGAACGAGAAGGUGGUGAAGAAAAGAAAGGAAUAGAGGGAACUGCGGUUGGGAUUGAGGGAAUGCUUGGCAGAGGCGGCAGUCCGCUUGGCAAUGUGGUAGGAAGUGGAGGAAGCGCCCCAGGGUUUGGGAGAUUAGGGAAAGAUGGCAAUGGUGGAAAAGAGAAAGGAAUAGGGGGAAUUGCAGUUGGGAUUGUGGGGACUGAGGGAAUGCUUGGCAGAGGGGGUAGUCCUGUUGGCAAUGUGGUAGGAAGUGGAGGAAGCGCCCCUGGCCAUGGGAAUGAUUGUCGGGAUGGCGUUGGGAGAUUAGGGAAAUAUGGUAAACUUUGCGGUUGAGGCUGCUGCAGAAGGUGACGAGCUGCUCCCCCAACAUCAAUGCUUGCAAAUGACAAAGCAAUCAAGAAUGCUAAAGCAAGGCAAUUGAAAGAGGCCAUUUUUGUUCAGAGAUUUCGAAACAAAUGAAGCAGAUGAAACAAAGUUCUUUAUCUGAAUAGUUGUGGGUGAAGAAAACAAAGCAUGGUUUUGAGGUUUAUAUAGGCAUUGGAGCAGUGAAUAGAAAUCCCCUGCCUCUAAACAACGCCCCAUGCAUGCCCCCAAACCAAAAUAGCGCCACAUGUUUUUUUAUUUUUUCCAUUUUAAUUGUAGUUCAAUUUUUAAAUAAAAAAUUUAUAAUGAUUUGGAUGAAUUUUUAACUUAUUAUCAACGUUUUUGUUUUCAUUUUAUUUUCUAUUAAUUUUACCUAUUCUUUCAUUAAUAAAUUUAUAAUGACUUAGAAUUAAUUUAACAGAGUUUUUUAUUAUAAUCGUUCUUAUAAUAAAAUUUAAAAAGGUGGGAACGAGUCCCACAAUGACAACAUAAUCCUUAAAUUUUGGGUGGUGGCAUGCCUUUAGUCAAAGGAUCAGAUAACAUUUGCUCAGUGUUAAUGUGCUCAAUAACGACUUUCUUUUCUUUAACAUGUUCUCUUAUGACUAGAUACUUAAAGUCGAUAUGUUUACUUCGACUUUCACUUUUGUAGCUCUUAGCCAUAAAGACAGCAAUUGAAUUGUCACAAUAUAUGAAAUAAUCGAAACCUAUAAUGACUCAGCUCAAAAAACUCUAGCCUCAAACCCAAAUUAAAUUAAAUCAAAAUCAUAAUUUAUUAUAUACAAUUGCAUAAAAUUAACAUAAUUUAAGUGUCAUAGUGCACAUUAAAUUAGAUUUUAUGUUUGACAUUAUAGAUUGAAGCAAUAUUCAUGUGUAAAAGUUUGAGAUUUAUUUCCUUAAUUAAAGUAAUAUUUCAAAUAGAAUACUUGAACAAUCCUCCAUGUCGGAAAACUUUAUGUACAUUAGAAACGAACUAAAUAAUUAGAAUAAAUCUAAAGUAUGGCUUACCUUUAAUUUAUUCACAAUGUGACUUAAACUUUGGCCUUCAAGAUUUCACGGUCUCAAAUUAUGUCUUAAAAAUUUUAAGAUCAUUUUAGCUUUGUUAAAAAAAAUCAAAAGUUUAGAAAGUUAGAAUUAUUGCUUGAGGCCUGAAUAUCCCUAUUGUUUAGGAUAUUCAUGGAUUUAUUAUCUCUCAAGAUUUAAUUUGUAUCAUUCACAAUGAAAAAAUUGAAAAAAAAAAUCCCAUUUGAAUGGAGUUGUACUAUUAGGCUCAAGCCUCGUGUGUGCAUAUAUAUUCUCUUAUUUUGAGUCUUACAAGUUUAUAGUAACCAAAUCUAUAUAAACAUCAUUUAAUAAGUGUAUCUAAAAUAUGUUUAAUAUGUGUAAUUCUUUAAAAUACAUGAAAACUUCAAAUAUAGUUUAGGUCAUUUUCAGAUUUGUCUUAUUUUAGGUUGAAAUUAUUCGAAUUUGAGGCUAAGUUUUUCAUGUGUAAUCAUUAUUGAUCCUAAUCAUUUUAGAUUUUGAUCAUUUUAAGUUCCAAUUAUUUUGUGAUCAAAUCAUUUCAAGUUUAGACAGAUUUGGUCAAUUCGAAUUUGACUUAAUUACGUAAUUAACUUUUUUUAUAAUAAAUUGAGCUGAAUGAAAUUUAGAUUAGAAUUUAUUUAGUGUGCCUUUGUGUUUAAGUUGAAAUUUAAACAUUUGUAUUCGAAAUACACAUGUUAAUAGAAUUUUAUUUUAAAGACAUAGGACCGAAUUGAUUUGGGAGGUAAACAUGUUAAUUUUUUAAUCCCAACCAAAAUUGUACAUAAUUCUUUUAUGUUAUAUUAAAUACAUGUAUAAAAAUUGUCAAUAAAUUAUGCCUAGCGACAACGUUAUUCAAAUCUAAUUUCAUUGUUAAUACCUAUUUCUAUUUUUCUUCUACUGUCUGCAACUUUAAAUAUAAAGGGAUUGGAAUUUUAAGAAUUGAGAUUUCUUUUCUUUGUAUUAGUGGACGUUUGAUUUUUUGUUUGAUUUUUUUACUAGAAUUGAUGCAUAUCUUAUCAGAUUUAUCAAUAUUUUUUAAAAUUAUUUAAGAUAUAUAUAAAUAUAUUACAAAUAUAAAAUGAAUGAAACUAAAUACAUUUCAAAUAUAAAAUAUUCAUUAAUAAACUUAACAAAUAAAAAUUUAUCAUUCAAAUAAAUAAAAAAAAUAUUUAAAAUGAAAUUUUACGAAUGUAGCUCAUUUUCUUAAUUAAAGAAGUUGGAAGGUGAACGAAUAUGUUGUUUUUUUUUUACAAUCAGGUGACUGGUAAUAGCCCAAUUUUACCUGGGCCCAGUGGCAAAACCAAAACAAAACCAAAAAUAAAAAUUGUGUCCAAAAUAUAAAGAGUCCAUUUACAUUAAAUAAGCCCAAAUUACUUAAAAAUCACUACCCAAAUUGAAGACAGCGAAUCUUAUUUCCCUGGCGUUGCAGUGGAACAAAUUAAAGCUAAAAAUUAUGGCGGAUCUUAUCUUCCUAAAGUUGCAGUGGAGCAGAUUGAAGCCACCAGCCUUAUCUCCCUAAAGUUGCAGCGGAGUACACUAAAGACAACAAAUCUUAUUUCCCUGGCGUUGUAGUAGAACAAAUUAAAGAUACAAAUUAUGGCUGAUCUUAUCUUCCUGAAGUUGCAGUGGAGCAGAUUGAAGCCACCAGCCUUAUCUGCCUGAGGUUGUAGCGGAGUAGACUGAAGACAGCGAAUCUUAUUUCCUUGGCAUUGCAUUGGAACAGAUUAAAGCUACAAAUUAUGGCGGAUCUUAUCUUCCUGAAGUUGCAGUGGAGUAGAUUGAAGCCACCAGCCUUAUCUCCCUGAAGUUGCAACGGAGCAGACUGAAGACAGCGAAUCUUAUUUCCCUUGCGUUGCAGUGAGAUAGAUUAAAGUUACAAAUUAUGGCGGAUCUUAUCUUCCUAAAGUUGCAGUGGAGCAGAUUGAAGCCACCAGCCUUAUCUACCUGAAGUUGAAGCAAGCAGACUAAAGACAGCGAAUCUUAUUUCCCUAACGUUGCAGUGGAAUAGAUUAAAGCUACAAAUUAUGGCGGAUCUUAUCUUCCUAAAGUUGCAGUGGAGCAGAUUGAUGCCACCAAUCCUAUCUCCCUGAAGUUGUAGUGAAGUGGAUUAAAACAACAAUUCCUAUACCCCUGAAGAUGCAGUGGGAUGGAAUAAGACUCCUUUUAGAGAAGAAGCACCAAAAAGUCAAGACUUAGCAAGAUAGGGCAAAAUUGGCCCUUUUAAAGUCUGUGCUCCAUUCUUGUUACACGACAAUGAGUAGAGAGGGGCAGCUGUAAUAGCCCAAUUUUACCCAGGCCUAGUGCUAAAACCAAAACAAAACCAAAAAUAAAAAUUGAGCCCAAAAUAUAAAGAGUCCAUUUACAAUAAAUAAGCCCAAAUUACUUAAAAACCACUACCCAAACUUUACAAGCCUAAACAACCCAUAACCUAAACUAGCAACAGAAACCCUAAUACAGCCACUGCUCCUAACCGCUACCCUUAGGCCUGCUCUUGGCUGCCACACGCUAGCCACCUACACGCGUGUCGCACACCUCUAACACUUGCAGAGAGAAAUCAAUGCAAAACAACAGAAGAAACAACUAGAAAAAAACAAAAAAAUAGAAAUUAAAAGUUGUAACUUCGCUAUAAAAGCCGAAAUUUCCUCUUUGUAUUUUUUUGUUUUUACAAGUGCACACUAGAGUAAUCAAAACAAAGAGCGAAAUCAAAGAAAAGUUAGAAAUAAAAAGAAAAUAGGUUUUGAAAUAAAUCAAAUUCAAAAAAAGGUGUCCUUUUUUACUUUUCUAUUUUUUUUCUUUUUCUCUAUUUUUUUUAUCUUUUUUUCCUUAUUUUUCUUUUCAAAAGAAAAUAAAAAUAAAAUAAAAAAGGGAGAGGCCGAAUCGUACCUUUCCAGUGUUUACGCUGUUGUGGAGGGGGCCGAGGUUGUCGUCUCCGAUGAAAGAUGGCAGUUUUAGAAUCGGGAGUCAAAAAGGCCAAAAAUGGCUACUUUCUUUCUCUGGCCACCGUGUACGGUGGCGCUGUCGUCGGUGACCGGCAGCCGUCACAGUGCUCCAGCGAUCGGAGCUAAGCCAGAGUUUGGCCAACCAAAAAAGGGGUUGAGAGAAAUUUUUAGGGUGUUUUAGUUUUUUUUGUGUAAAAUUAGGUAGAAUGAAAUUUUUUAAAAAAAAUUUGACUUUUAUAAACCCAUGAAACGAUGUCGUUUAGGGCUAGCCUCCAUAGCCCAAAAACGACGUUGUUUUAAGCCUUAACCCGUGCGACCCGACCAGCUCCGGGGGGGAUCUGCAUGUUUUCGAUCAAUUGGAUAUUUACACCGCUGGCCCUUCCGCAUUCUUGUGCUUUUUAAUUUAUUCCUUUUGCUUAUUCAUUUAUUUUAUAAAUUUGACCCCAGAAUUUACGGCACAUUUCAAUCGAGUCCUUGCUCCACUGACGCUUUGAAAAAUGGACACGUGUCUGAAUUUGGGUUUUUUCCCAUUUGGUCAUUGGCCUUUUCGCGUUUUUUUAUUUUAGUCCACAUUUGUUUAUUUUGUCAUAAUUUUUACUUUAAAAUUUCAUUUUUAUUAUGAUUUAGUCCCUAAUUUGUUUGAUUUCAACCUUUUUGCAAAUUUGUUGUUUAUUUAUUUAUUUUAAAAUCUUUUCAUAUAUUACUUAUUUUAAACUAUUUUAUUAUUACUUAUUUUAAGAUUUUUUUCAUAUAUUAUUAUUUUAAACUAUUUUAUACAUUAUUCAUUUUAAAUUGUUUUAUAUGGUAUUCAUUUCAAACUAUUUUAUUGUAUAUUAUUUUAAACUAUUAUAUAUUUAAUUUAUUUUAAAUUACUUUAUAUAUAUUUUCGAACUGUUUUAUAUUUUAUUUAUGAUAAGUUUUUUCAUAUGGUUUAUUUUGAACCAUUUUCUAUAUUAUUUAUUUUAAAUUUUUUUCAUAUAUUAUUUGUUUUAAACUUUUUUGUAUUAUUUACUUUAAAUUGUUUCAUUUAUCAUUUAUUUUAAACCUUUUUAUAUUAUUUACUUCAAAUUUUUUUUACUUAUUAUUUUGUUCGUUUUCUUUAAUUGUUAAUAUUGAUAUUAAAGUGACAUGUGUUGUGUGAUUAUUGCCAUUAUAUGUAUUAUAAUUCGUUUAUUUGUAUUUUCAUGUUAUUGUGAUUCAUUAGUGUAACAUUUUAUUUGUAAAUUAUUACACCAUGUUGUAUAUUAUCAUUCCAUCACAUUUCAUUAAAAUCAUUUCAAAGGUUUUGUCCACAGUGGGCCAUUUUAUUAUAUCAACUAAAUAGCACGCAUCCUUUAGGUUUUGUAAUCGCUAUUAUUUAAUAAAAAGAAAUUUUCAAAAAUAAGGCAAUGUUUCGUUUUUGGAAAUUCGAGAAGUCAUACCCUAACUUAUGAGAUUUUGAUUUUCUCGUUAAAUUUAAACAACCGAACAUCCUUCUAAAUUUGAAAUACCUAAGUUUUGAAUAAAAAUUUCUAAAGGUAAACUUGUUCUUGAGGGUUCAAAAUGCCGUGUCCUAACUUACAAGAUGUGACAUUUAUAUUCUCGAGACGAGAGGGUCUUUGCCAGUCGUUUCAAUUUAUUCAAACAUUUUUCUUAAAAACUAACAUUAAUAAAGAGGGAUCGUAUUUUAAAUCCUUUUCGAGUUUUCAAUUUCUGACACUAAGACGUUAAUUAAUCAAUUAGGUACCUAAUUUGGGCGUUACGAGGGUGCUAAUCAUUUCUCGUACGUAACCGACUCUCGAACCCAUUUUUUUGAAUUUCGUAGACCAAAAUUAUUGUUUUAAUAAAUUCAACCAUUACGAGGUGACCCGAUCACACCUCAUAAAAAUGAUCGUUGGCGACUCCCUUUUUCGUUUUCUUUAAAGUAAAAAGUCGACCCCGUUUUAAAAAAAUGGUUUCGACAGCUUGGCGACUCUGCUGGGGACCUAAAAUAAGAGAGUCAAGCCACGAGUUGAUUACUUUUUCUCUUUUGUCGAAAAUUGAAAACUUGGUUUAAAUGUACGAUCCUUUCGUUGCAUUUCAUCCAUCUUUAUUACAAUCUUCAUCAUUGUGGUUUAAUUGUUAUGUUGGUUUAAGUUUUGGUAUCUCUCUGCACAUUGCAUCACAUGAUCGAUCGAUCUUACCCUUUUAAGUGGGAGUGAGAAACUAUUUCUUUGCGAGGUCUUCACCUCCAUGCAGGAUAGUGGAUCGCUUUCGGGAUACAUCCGUACCUAUGUCUUCGUGAGAUUUUCAUCUUCGUCCAGCCAUAGGAAAAUGUAUUCCCCUAAACUGAAUUCGGUCCAUAUGAGCCUAUAAUGGGUGAGGAUCGAGGAAUCUACCGGUUUGGGUACCUUUACUUUAGAACCGAACCCCAUAUAGAGAGCCUUAAGAGUCCACCCUAGGUAGAAUCGCACUGAACCCCUAGUGGUCAUCCAAAUAGGUACUCUUUUCGUUAUUUAUGUUUUUGUACUGAUGUGUUUUCUUUUGUUUCAGUUAUGAUUGCAUUGCAUUUUCAUCAUAGAAAAGAGGUGUUGAUUCACGUUCAGUUGCUAAAUAGAGAGCUUGUAAUGGAUUUCUUGAUAAAGUGGAAGACAAUGCGGUCAUUCGAAUACGGUCUAAGAAAAUGUAACGAGGGAAGGGUGAUAGUUUGAUGAAUGAGUACAUGACCUUGCUCCGUUGCCCGAAGAUUUAAGCCGACAAAGCUUAUUCAAGAGUCAUCAACGUCUCAGCUUUCUUAAAGAAGCUAACGAGUAUCACGAGGAUGAGUGAGCAAUGGGUCGCAGCCUGAAUCGAGCAAAAAGAAGCUAGUAGAGGCAUCCAUUGGAAAGUUCGCGAGAUUUGAUCUUAACAUCCGGAUAUGAAGAAAGGGAUCGAUGACUUUGCCUGGAGUAUGAGGGCAAGGCCAUAUAAAUAUUCAUUUUAUGUAAAAAGAUUUAUUUUCUAAAAAAGUUGUUCUAAUAGAAGUGAAUCAGAAUCAACGCCUCUUUUUUUUUGCAUUCAUUGCAUUCAUGCAUUAUCAUUGCAUUGCAUUGCAUUAUAUGCAUUAAAUCUCACAACAGGACCUUAAAAUCUUGGCAGUUAUCCUGAAAUAUCGAUACACGAGGAAAAAAUAAAGAAAUAGACCAAAGGUUGGAGAGAUUAGAGCAAAUGCAAAUACAGAUGCAAGAGAAAUUGGCCAAAAUUCAACAAGAUAUGAAGGAUCGGAUGCUAGAAUUCCAAAGAAAUAUGAUGAGCCAGUUAACCUAGUUGCUAGCUGGAGGGUUAGAAAAAGGAAAGGGCCCUAUGGUCAAUUCUGGGGUCGAUAACGAGGACCCUGCUUAUCCUUCAGGCUUUACCCCAACAAACACCCAAGCACAACCAAAUGCGUAUCCACAAAGGGUAUCUGUUAACAUCAGACCCCAAUACCAGACCGGUACCUCGACACCGAUGAACCUCCCGUCAGGUUCAGGUUCUAACUCGGGGGAUAAUCUGACCAAUCCUGUUGUCCUUGAUUUGGAUGAUCUAGUGGAAACAAAACAGACAAGAAUGGAGCUCCCAAAACAAUUUGAAGAUCGUUACAAAUGAAAAUGUGAGAGUGGAGCUCCCAAAUCAAUACUUUAUAGGCCUCGAGGAAGAGGGAAAAUGAGGUGAAUAAUACGAGCAUGUAUAACAAGGUCUAUUCAAAGCCGAUUAUCGUAAGUCAGCCAAGGACAACAACUACUAGCCAUCAGAUCCCCCCAUGGCAAGAACCUAAUCCAAGACCGAACUCAAAAAAACUUAGGUUCACGCCCAUCCCAAUCACGUAUGGGGAGUUGUACCAAAGUUUGUUUGAUGCACAUGUAGCGUCCCCUUUCUACCUAAAACCUAUGUAGCCCCCAUACCCUAAAUUGUACGAUGCGAACACCCAAUGUGAGUACCAUGCAGGAAUCAUAGGACACUCAAUCGAGAACUGCACCUCUUUCAAAAAGAUAAUCGAAAGACUCAUCAAAAUGGGUAUUGUGAAAUUCGAUUAUCCAUCUAGUGUAGAAAAUUCGUUACCCAACCAUUUUGACAAAGGGGUAAACGUAAUAAUCGAGAGUGCAUGGAGGAGAAUCAAGAUAGAUGUAGCAAAAGUGAAAACCUCACUAAGGGAGGUUUUGAAAAAAAUGGUAGAAGAAUGAUUAAUCACACAGAAUUUAGGGGAGAAACCUGGAGAAGCAAGGAACUACUGUGACUUCGAUGAUGAAGAGGGUCACGAGAUUUAAAAGUGCAAUGAAUUCAGAGCCUUGGUGCAAGGGCUGAUGGAUAAUAAGGAACUAGAAUUGUUUGAAUAUACUGAAGACUCGGAAGGAAUGUUCAGAAAUUGGAGUAUCAAUGCUAUAUCCGAAGAAGGAAUUGGGAGAGAAAAUUUAUCAGGCAUUUGCCCUUAUGAGCCUGGAAGUGUUCUGAACAAUUGGAUAGUGGAAGAGAUUCUUGUAGUUUUUAGAGCUAAUUCAGAGUAGUGUUCAAAACACGCUUGUUACUUUAAGCCUAGAAGCAAUAAGAAUCCUUUUGUAAAAUAGGCUCAUGUCCAACAUCUUUAUUUCAAUAAAAAAAUACAUUUUUGUGUCUCAUUUUGAGUAAAUAUUCUUUUAUUCCUUCAUUUCAUUCAUAUUCAUACCACAUAAAUAACUGUUCUUAGAUUCAUUUAUUCUUUAGAUAUUCCUUCGUGCCUACAACAGGUCUCUAGAUAUCAAUGAUAUGAGCGACACUGUUAUUGACUCAAAACCUCCUUUUGAGCAAGAUAUGUGUCUAGAGGAACCUCAGGACUUUGAAAAUGACCGAGACUGUAACUUAUCUCCUGAUUUGUUAAUGACGAUAGAAUAAGAUGAGAAACAGAUCCUACCUUACAAAGAAUCAAUGGAAUCCAUAUCUUUUCUCUAUGUGGGGCACGGAUGUCAUUGGACCAAUCUUGCCAAAAGCCUCUAACAGGCAUCGAUUCAUCUUUGUGGUCAUUAAUUACUUCACCAAGUCGACAGUCAGCAAGUUCUUAAAGAAGAAGAUCAUAUGUCGGUAUGGCAUGCCAGAAAGGAUCAUAUCUGACAAUGCAUUGAAUUUGAAAAACAACAUGAUAGCGGAGGUCUAUAACCAAUUCUAAAUCAAGAGCCACAACUCAUCGCCAUAUCGCCCAAAAAUGAAUGGCGCAGUGGAGGCAGCCAAUAAGAACAUUAAGAAGAUCAUGGGGAAAAUGACUGAGACCUAUAGAGAUUGGCAUGAGAAGUUACCAUUUUCCAUUUAUGCUUAUAGAAUGUCUGUCAAGACCUUUACCGAGGCAACGCCUUUCUUAUUGGCCUAUGGAUUGGAGGUAAUUUUACCCAUCGAAGUUAAGAUUCUUUUCCUUUGAGUCUUGUCAGAGCUGAAGUUGGAUGAAGCAGAAUGGAUCUAAGCUCGAUAUCAUCAGUUAAAUUUGAUUGAAGAGAAAAUGUUGAAAGUUAUCCGUCAUGGUCAAAUGUACCAAAAGUGAAUGAUGUGAGCUUGCAACAAAAAGGUUCACCCUAGAGAAUUCCAUGAGGGGGACUUGGUAUUGAAUAAGAUCCUUCCUAUACAAAAAGAUUUUAGAGGAAAAUGGAUGGAAAACUGGGAAGAACCUUAUAUGGUAAAGAAGGCAUUUUCUGAAGGAGCGUUGAUAUUAACUGAGAUUGACUGUAAGAGCCUGCCUAAUCCAGUAAAUUCAGAUUCAGUCAAGAAAUACUUCAUUUAAAAAAUUAAAAAGAAAAAGAAAAAAAUAAAAAAAAGAAAAGAAAAAGAAAAAGGAGAGGCCAAGGCUAAAACCUACAAAAGGCGUCCUGAGACCAAAGGGGUUUUGAAUUGAAAACCCAGAAAAGGGCAAUUCAAAUUUUGAUCGAAGGUGGGGCAUGCGAUAGUCUUGCUAUGCCUGAAUUAACAAAGAGGGGGAAUGCUAUGUCUUGGGGCAUCAACAAAAUACUCUAGAUCUCCUAAACACAUGUUGAGCUCAAAAUGGUCCUCAAAAAGUUCGUACAGAGAAGCUCAGGCUGCAAUAUCUGAGGCACCUAUGUAAUGGCCUAAAUUUUCAGUGGUGUCGGAAUGGUGAUUCGAGAUCACUAAAUCUGACAAAUGAGUAGAAAAUAUUAUUAGUUUAGUAAGAAUAAGUAAAUGUGAAGUUAGAAAAUUUUUUUGAAAUAGUGAAUAGUGUACUAGGAAUAAAUAUUAAAAUAAUUAAAAUAAAAAACGAGGUAUUGAGACCUCAAAGAUUUUAAAUUGAGCCAUAAUUAUUUUUAGAAAUAUUUUUAGAGUGUCAUUGAGUUGGUAUUAAAGUUUCGUUAGAAAAUUUUAACGUUCAGAUAGUUAAUUAACUAAAAAGGACUAAAUUGAAAAUAGUAUAAAAUUUGUUAAAUUGUGAUUAAAUCGCUUAAGUGAUUAAAAAGGAAGGAUUUAAAAGGAAAUUAGGCCCAAAUUAUAUGGGCUGGACGGUUGUACAAGAAAAAUCUGGAGAAGUGAUGUAAUAAGGGUAAAAUUGGAAAUUUUGUAAAAGUUAACAAAUAAAAAAAUCUCAAUUAAAAGAGUUUCUAGGUAAUUCUUCAUAAUUAUCAGCCAAAAAACGCCAUUUAAGAGUCCCUCCAAGCUGGUUUUUCAUAUAUUUGACGCAUGUAAGUUAAUUCUUGAUUAUUUCUUCUAAUUUUUGUGGUUUUGAUACUUUUACAAUUAGGUCCAACUAAUUGUUUCAUUAGUUAUUGAUUUUUUGGAUGAUUUUGAAUGUUAUCAUUGAUGAGUACUGAAUUUUUAUGAUUAAUAAACAUGUAAUUAAAGCUUUAAUUUUGUUAUAUGAUGAUUCUAUUAAGUAAUUUUGAUAGAAAUUGAUUUUAGGGACCUAAUUGUGAAAAAGUUGGGAAUUAGGGUUUGGUGUUGCGGUUUUGAAUAGGAAAGGCUAUGUAGUAGUCUAAAAUAGUUGGAAAAGGUGUUAAUUGAGAAAAAUUAGAUCAAUUGAGGGGUUAAUUGAGUAGGGACCAAAUUGUAAAAAUUGUAAAGUUUGGGGUAAAAGUGUAAUUUCGAAAAUUUAAGGGAAUAAAUUGUGAAAUGAAUUAGAAUUGAAUUAUAUGCUGAUGAACGAAUAAAUUUGUAUUUUAGAUCGAGAACCCAAAGCAAGCCGAGGAAAAGAAAAAGUAGUUGAUUAGUCCCUAAACUUUUACAAAUUCUGCAAAUCGAUCUAGGUAAGUUCAUAGGGCUGAAAUUUAAUGAUUAAAUGUUAAUUUCAUGAAUUAUAUAAUGUAUGAUGAAAUGUAUAUAGUGUUGAAAUGAGAGUAAAAUAAAAAUGCGAAAAUCAAAUAAAUGAUCAAAUUAAGCGAAACGCCGGAUUUGAGUACUUCUGAUCAAGAGAUAAAGUGAUAAGUGGUAGCUUUAGCUACACUUAUCUGAUCAAGUGAAAAAGUGAUAAGUGCUACACUUAUCUAAUCAAGAGACAAAGUGAUAAGUGGUAGCUUUAGCUACACUUAUCUGAUCAAGUGAAAAAGUGAUAAGUGUUAUACUUAUCUGAUCAAGUGAAAAAGUGAUAAGUGCAAUACUUAUCUGAUCAAGUGACAAAGUGAUAAGUGGUAGCUUAGCUACACUUAUUUGAUCAGGGACAAAUGAUAAGUGAUCAUACGUAAGACCAUAGUUAUACUAUGGCAAAGUGAAAGUGAAGUACUCAAUUUUCCGUAACCGUUCCUUAAUUUUGAUCAAGGAUGGUAAGUGGCAAAUGGGCCCAAAUGAAUUAUGGUAAAAUAAUAAUUAGUAGUGAGUUUAUACCAAGGAACUCACCAAAGAUUGUGGUUGACAGGUAAAAUUAGUAAUGGUGUAUAUUGUAUAAGUGUACAAAUGUUUGGUAAGAUUUAUGUUUUAUGCCUAUGAACUUACUAAGCUUUUCUAUAAGCUUACAUGUGUGUGUUUAUUGUUUCUGUAGAUUAACGUAUUUAUACAUUCGGAGGAUCGGAUCUACAUCGAGAAUCACACUAUCCAGAUAUACUCCGGUAGACUUUGUUAAAUGAAUUUUUGGAUUUAUAUGGAAUGUAUAGGGAAUUGAAGUAAAAAGUAAUAGAAUGAAUGACUAAGUAUGCAAAGUAAAAUUGAAUGUGAUGGUUGUGUUAGACAUUGAAAAAUACAUGUUUUUAGUUUGAAAUGGUUGAUUGGUUGAACUUCAUUAGUAUUCAAGUGAAGUAGUUGAAAUACUGAAGUUGGUUGUGAUUUGAAAUUUGCAGGGAAGGUUAGGUAAUUAUAAAGGGGUUAUAUGGAAUUUUUUUUUAAAUUUCCAAUAGAACAGUUUUUGAACAGCAGCAUUGAUGUAACUUUUAAAAAUUACCAAAAAUAGUGGAAAAAUAAUUAGAAUUUUAGUGAGAUAUGAAAUUAAAGCUGAAAGAGUAUACUUUCACAUGAAAGCAAUAGAGUAAGAAAAAGAGUUAUAUAUUUUUAUAUAUUUGAAAUUUAGUGAGAUAGGGUUAGAAUGAUUUUGAAGUUCCCUAUUCUGACUUUAGAAAUUCAUUAAAAAUUGUACAAAAGGAAUUAUGACUUAUAAUUUAUAUUUUUAAAUUCCUUAAUGAGUCUAUUUUAAUUAGAAAUAAGUGGAAGCACCAUAUGAAGUCUUUAUAAUUAUAUAAUUGAAUUUUAGUGACAAGAGAUCAGGAUAGUCAAUUAGUGAAACAAGGGAGAAUUGAACUAAUAAACUAUACUAAUUGGAUAGACAAAAAAUUAUUAAAAAUUUAUGGUGAAUAGAUAUAUGAGUUUAGUUUCAGGGAAAAUUUACGGAUCUAAAUUUCAAGUUUCGUUGCUUGAGUUAUAAUUAUUUUAGUGACUGCUGCGCAGGUGGAUAGCUUUAUUGUGAAUGGUGAAAUUAAUUUUUAAAGUAAAUUUUUAUGCCCCGAACUUUUAAGUUAAGUCAAGUAACGCCUCAUGCUCGAAUCCGGUAACAGUCUCGAGUAAGGGAUGUUACAUUUUAUUGGUUUCAGAGCCUGGUUUAGCCGGUUCUCCGAAUGUGUGUGAAGUGUAAAGUGUUUAGAAAUACAUGCCAUAUAAAUCUGUGAUAGUGUGAUGUGUAUGAUCCGAUCUAAUCUUUGUUAUUUUUAUAGAUAUUAUCUGAUUAUAAAGAUGUCAGAUAUACCUGAAUGUACUGAGCAAGAAGAAGUCAACAGUAGAAUACAUAAUUCUGAACAAAGAAUAAUCAGUGAUGUUCCGAUUUCCCAAAUGCGAGAGCAAGAACUAAAGAAUAUGAUUUAUGGGAUUAUGAAUCAGUGGUAUACUGAAAUGAGGCAAGAAAGAAAUCAGGUUGAACCACCUCCUCCCCCUACUGCUCCAUCGAUGGUACCCCCGGUUGCUCCUCCACCUCCUACAAUGACUGAAUCUAGUAAGCGUUCUCCAUUGGAAAGGCUUAGAAAACUUGGAGCUGAAGAAUUUCGGGGAAGGACUGAUGAUGAUCCCGUCAAAGCUGAAUAUUGGUUACAGAUUUUGAUAAGAAUUUUUAAAAAAAUGGCUUGCUCACCAGAUGAUUAUUUGAGAUGUGCUGUGUCUCUGUUGAAAGAAGAAGCUUAUAGUUGGUGGAAGACGAUUGCUGUGGUUCCGGCAAAGAAAAUUUCUUGGGAAUUUUUCCAAAAUGAAUUUAAGAAGAAAUAUGUGGGCAGACGGUAUUUGGAUAAAAAGAAAAGGGAAUUUCUCGACCUACAGCAGGGAAAUAAAUCAGUGGCUGAAUAUGAAAGAGAAUUUUUCUACCUCAGCAAAUAUGCCCGAGACAUUGUACCUACUGAAGAAGAAAUGUGUAUCCGAUUUGAAGAAGGGUUAAAUGAUGAAAUUAGAAUGAUGAUUGGGGGUAAUGAAAUAUGAGAGUUUGUUGUUCUGUCAGACCGUGCUCAAAAGCUCGAAGAAGUAUACAACAAAAAAAUGUAGCGGGAUCGGAAAAGUAAAGAGCCAUUCAAAAGAGGUGCUUCUAAGUCAUUUUCAGAUUUUCCAGUGAAGAAAUCUAGAGAAGAAAUUAGUCGAACUACAUCAGUGUCGGGGAGAUUGGGCAGAGAUAGACCAAGACAAUCUGAUUUCAGGGUAUUCGAUAGACCUGCAGCAAGUGUAAGCAGUGUUCAGAAUGCUUCCCGGCCUAAGUGUCAAUAUUGUGGAAGAUAUCAUUUCGGAGAAUGCAGGACUAAGAUGGGGGCUUGUUAUAAAUGUGGGGCCACUGAUCAUCUUAUUCGAGAUUGUCCCCGGCUGUAAAAAGAUGAAGUGGAACAGAAGGAGAUACAGAGAACCAUUCCCCAAAAAAGUAGACGUUCGAGCCAGAGCAGUGCUAUAGGGACUACCCGUUCGGGCACGAGGGAAUCAAUUGGCCGAUCAGAGAAUAGAGCACCAGUACGUACCUACGCCAUUCGAGCAAGGGAAGAAGCUACCGCUCCUGAUGUAAUUGCUGGUACUUUCUAUCUUUAUGAUGUUAUUUUUUAUGCAUUGAUAGACCUUGGGUGUACUCAUUCAUAUAUUUGCACUAUGUUAGCAUCUGAAAAGAAAUUAUCUGUUGAGUCCACUGAAUUUGAUAUACAAGUCACAAAUCCAUUAGGUCAAAGUGUGAUGGUUAAUUUGAUAUGUCGUAAUUGUCCACUGAAAGUGAAAGGCUAUGAAUUCCCCGCUGAUUUGAUGUUGUUACCCUUUUGGGAAUUUGACAUUAUUCUGGGAAUGGACUGGUUAAUGAAACAUAAUGCGGUACUGAAUUGUCGUGAUAAGCAAAUCAGUUUGAAAUGUCAAACAGGAGAUGUAAUCUCAGUUGGGUCAGAAAAUAUGGGUGAUAUAGUCAGAAUUAUUUCAGCUCUCUCUGCCCAGAGAUUAUUACGCAAAGGCAACGAAGCAUUCUUAGCCUAUAUCCUUGAUACUCGGGGUUCUGAUUUAAAGCCCGAACAAGUGCCAGUGGUGAAUGAAUUUCCUGACGUGUUCCCUGAAGAGUUACCAGGUCUACCACCUGAUAGAGAAGUUGAAUUUGUAAUUGAUGUGAUCCCCGAAACAACUCCUAUAUCAAUGAAACCGUACAGAAUGGCUCCAGUCGAGUUAAAAGAGUUGAAGGCGCAGUUGCAGGAGUUAUUAGAUAAAGGGUUCAUCAGACCGAGUAUGUCGCCCUGGGGUGCACCUGUCUUGUUUGUGAAAAAGAAGGACGGUUCUUUAAGACUGUGUAUAUAUUACAGGCAGUUGAAUAAGGUAACAGUAAAGAAUAAAUAUCCUUUGCCUCGUAUUGAUGAUUUGUUUGAUCAGUUGAAAGGUGCUGCAGUAUUUUCCAAGAUAGAUAUUCGAUCCAGGUAUUAUCAGUUGAAAGUUAAAGAGUGUGAUGUGCCGAAAACUGCCUUCCGAACUUGAUAUGGUCAUUAUGAAUUUUUGGUGAUGCCAUUUGGUUUAACCAAUGCCCCUGCUGCUUUCAUGGAUUUGAUGAAUAGAAUUUUUCAGUCAUAUUUGGAUAGAUUUGUAGUUGUGUUCAUUGAUGAUAUAUUGAUUUAUUCAAAGACAGAGUCCGAACAUGCACAACAUCUAAGGAUUGUACUACAGACUUUGCGGGAGAAACAGUUGUAUGCAAAAUUCAGCAAUGUGAAUUUUGGCUCCAUGAAGUUGCAUUUUUGGGUCAUAUUGUAUCAGCUGAUGGAAUAAGAGUCGAUCCAUGUAAGGUAGCGGCGGUGGUAAAUUGGAAAGUUCUGAAGAAUGUUACUGAAGUGCGGAGUUUUCUAGGAUUGGCAGGUUAUUAUCGUUGAUUUUUCAAAGAUUUCUCAAUGAUUACCUUACCGUUGACUCGAUUACUACAAAAGAAUGUUGAAUGUAUAUGGUCAGAUGAAUGUCAGUGGAGUUUCGAUCAGUUGAAAAAGAUGCUGACAGAGGCUCCAGUAUUGACUCAACCAGAAUCGGGUGUACCUUUUGUAGUCUAUAGUGAUGCGUCUCUAAAUGGGUUGGGUUGUGUACUUAUGCAGUCAGGCAAAGUGGUGGCAUAUGAUUCUCGGCAACUGAAACUGCACGAGAAGAAUUAUCCUAUACAUGAUUUGGAAUUGACAGCGUCGUGUUUGCUUUGAAGAUAUGGAGACACUACUUAUAUGGUGAGAAAUGUUACGUGUAUACUGAUCAUAAAAGCUUGAAGUAUUUAAUGACUCAGAAAGAGUUAAAUUUGAGACAGAUAUGAUGGCUAGAGUUGUUGAAAGAUUAUGAUCUUGUCAUUGACUAUCACCCAGGGAAAGCAAAUGUCGUAGCAGAUGCACUUAGUCGAAAAUCAUCAUUAUUUGCACUACGAGCAUUGAAUGCUCAUUUAUCUAUUAAUGAGGAUGGUUCUGUACUAGCAGAAUUAAAGGCUAAACCCGUGUUCUUUCAACAGAUUCGGGAGUUACAGGAUGAUGACCCAAAAUUGAUGAUAAAACGACAAAUGGUUCAAGAUAAGUUAAGCUCAGAAUACUCCAUUGAUGAAAAUGGUAUGUUAUAUUAUCGUAAUAGAAUAUGUGUUCCGAAUAAUUUAGACUUGAAAAAUGAUAUUUUAGCAGAGGCUCACAGUAGUAUGUGUUCUAUUCACCCAGGUAGUACAAAAAUGUAUUGUGAUUUGAAGAAAAUGUAUUGGUGGCCUGGAAUGAAACGGGAAAUCUGUGAGUAUGUAGCAAGAUGUUUGAUUUGUCAACUGGUGAAAGCUGAGCAUCAAGUGCCGACAGGGUUGUUACAGCCCAUUAUGAUUCCAGAGUGGAAAUGGGAACAUGUCACGAUGGAUUUUGUAUCUGGAUUACCAGUAACUCCGAAGAAGAAAGAUUUGAUAUGGGUGAUUGUUGAUCGGUUAACUAAGUCAGUACAUUUUAUUCCAGUCAGCGCAGAUUAUCAGCUAGAAAAGUUACCGGAGUUAUAUGUGUCUGAGAUAGUGAGGUUACAUGGAGUGCCGAUAUCUAUUAUUUCAGAUCGAGAUCCGAGAUUUACCUCGAGAUUUUGGAGUAAAUUACAGGAAGCUUUGGGCACCAAAUUAAAUUUCAGCACAGCUUUUCAUCCCCAGACAGACGGGCAGUCAGAGCGAGUGAUUCAGAUUUUAGAAGAUAUGUUAAGGUGUUGUAUACUUGAGUUGGGCGGUAGCUGGCAAAGGUAUUUACCUUUAGCCGAAUUUGCUUAUAAGAAUAGUUAUCAAACUAGUAUUAAAAUGGCACCGUUUGAAGCUCUGUAUGGAAGAAAGUGUAGAACUCCAUUAUAUUGGUCUGAAUUAAGUGAACAGAAACUGGUGGGAGUGGACUUGAUUCGGGAAACUGAAGAAAAAGUUCGUAUUAUUCGAGAUUGUUUAAAAGCUGCCUCCGAUCGGCAAAAAUCAUAUGCAGAUUUGAAGAGAAGGGAUAUAAAGUUUAAUGUGGGUGAUCGUGUAUUCUUAAAAGUGUCACCGUGGAUGAAAGUUUUGCGGUUCGACAGAAAGGGAAAACUCAGCCCACGAUUUAUCGAGCCGUAUGAAAUCAUUGAAAGAAUCGGUCUAGUAUCUUAUAGAUUGGCUUUGCCCCUGGAGCUUGAAAAGAUUCAUGACGUGUUUUAUGUGUCUAUGUUGAGACGGUAUAGAUCAGAUCCAUCACAUGUAAUUCCUCAUACAGAAAUAGAACUCCAACCCGACAUGACUUAUUCAGAGGAACCGGUGAAAAUUUUAGAUCGGGAGUUAAAGAGUUAAGGAAUAAAUGUGUACCACUAGUUAAAGUGUUAUGGAAUCGACAUGGGUCUGAGGAGGCAACCUGGGAAACAGAGGAAUUGAUGAGAUCUCAGUAUCUGAAUUUAUUUACAGGUACGAAAUUUCAGGGAAAAAAUUUCCUAGAAGGGGGGAAGAGUUGUAAUGGCCUGAAUUUUCAGUGGUGUCGAAAUGGUGAUUCAAGAUCACUAAAUCUGACAAAUGAGUAGAAAAUAUUAUUAAUUUAGUAAGAAUAAGUAAAUGUGAAGUUAGGAAAAUUUUUUGAAAUAGUGAAUAAUGUACUAGGAAUAAAUAUUAAAAUAAUUAAAAUAAAAAACGAGGUAUCGAGACCUCGAAGAUUUUAAACCGAGCCAUAAGUAUUUUUAGAAAUGUUUUUAGACUGUCAUUAAGUUGGUAUUAAAGUUUCGUUAGAAAAUUUUAACGUUCGGAUAGUUAAUUAACUAAAAAGGACUAAAUUAAAAAUAGUGUAAAAUUUGUUAAAUUGUGAUUAAAUCGCUUAAGUGAUUAAAAAGGAGGGAUUUAAAAGGAAAUUAGGCCCAAAUUAUAUGGGCUGGACGGUUGGGCAAGAAAAAUCUGGAAAAGUGAUGUAAUAAGGGUAAAAUUGGAAAUUUUGUAAAAGUUAACAAAUAAAAAAAAUCUCAAUUAAAAGAGUUUCUAGGUAAUUCUUCAUACUUAUCAGCCAAAAAACGCCAUUUAAGAGUCCCUCCAAGCUGGUUUUUCAUAUAUUUGAAUCAGGUAAGUUUAAUUCUUGAUUAUUUCUUCUAAUUUUUGUGGUUUUGAUACUUUUACAAUUAGGUCCAACUAAUUGUUUCAUUAGUUAUUGAUUUUAUGGCUAAUUUUGAAAGCUAUCAUUGAUGAGUACUGAAUUUUUAUGAUUAAUAAACAUGGAAUUAAAGCUUUAAUUUUGUUAUAUGAUGAUUCUAUUAAGUAAUUUUGAUAGAAAUUGAUUUUAGGGACCUAAUUGUGAAAAAGUUGGGAAUUAGUGUUUUCUGUUGCGGUUUUGAAUAGGAAAAGCAAUGUAGUAGUCUAAAAUAGUUGGAAAAGGUGAUAAUUAAUAAAAAUUAGAUCAAUUGAGGGGUUAAUUGAGUAAGGACCAAAUUGUAAAAAUUGUAAAGUUUGGGGUAAAAGUGUAAUUUCAAAAAUUUAAGGGAAUAAAUUGUGAAAUGAAUUAGAAUAGAAUUAUAUGCUGAUGAACGAAUAAAUUUGUAUUUUAGAUCGAGAACCCAAAGUAAGCCGAGGAAAAGAAAAAGUGGUUGAUUAAUCCCUGAACUUUUACAAAUUCUGCAAAUCGACCUAGGUAAGUUCAUACGACUGAAAUUUAAUGAUUAAAUGUUAAUUUCAUGAAUUAUAUAAUGUAUGAUGAAAUGUAUAUAGUGUUGAAAUGAGAGUAAAAUAAAAAUGCAAAAAUCGAAUAAAUGAUCAAAUUAAGCGAAACGCCGGAUUUGAGUACUUCUGAUCAAGAGAUAAAGUGAUAAGUGGUAGCUUUAGCUAUACUUAUCUGAUCAAGUGAAAAAGUGAUAAGUGCUACACUUAUCUGAUCAAGAGACAAAGUGAUAAGUGGUAGCUUUAGCUACACUUAUCUGAUCAAGUGAAAAAGUGAUAAGUGUUAUACUUAUCUGAUCAAGUGAAAAAGUGAUAAGUGCUAUACUUAUCUGAUCAAGUGACAAAGUGAUAAGUGGUAGCUUAGCUACAAUUAUCUGAUCAGGGACAAAUGAUAAGUGAUCAUACGUAAGACCAUAGUUAUACUAUGGCAAAGUGAAAGUGAAGUACUCAAUUUUCCGUAACCGUUCCUUAAUUUUGAUCAAGGAUGGUAAGUGACAAAUGGGCCCAAAUGAAUUAUGGUAAAAGUAUAAGUAGUAGUGAGUUUAUACCAAGGAACUCACCAAAGAUUGUGGUUGACAGGUAAACUUAGUAAUGGUGUAUAUUGUAUAAGUGUACAAAUGUUUGGUAAGAUUUAUGUUUUAUGCCUAUGAACUUACUAAGCUUUUCUAUAAGCUUACAUGUGUGUGUUUAUUGUUUUUGUAUAUUAACAUAUUUAUACAUUCGGAGGAUCGGAUCUACAUCGAGAAUCACACUAUCCAGAUAUACUCCGGUAGAUUUUGUUAAAUGAAUUUUUGGAUUUAUAUAACAUGUAUAGGGAAUUGAAGUAAAAAGUAAUAGAAUGAAUGACUAAGUAUGCAAAGUAAAAUUGAAUGUGAUGGUUGUGUUAGACAUUGAAAAAUACAUGUUUUUAGUUUGAAAUGGUUGAUUGGUUGAACUUCAUUAGUAUUCAAGUGAAGUAGUUGAAAUACUGAAGUUGGUUGUGAUUUGAAAUUUGCAGGGAAGGUUAGGUAAUUAUAAAGGGGUUAUAUGAAAUUUUUUUUAAAUUUCCAAUAGAACAGUUUUUGAACAGCAGCAUUGAUGUAAUUUUGAAAAAUCACCGAAAUAGUGGAAAUAGAAUUAGAAGUUGAUUGAGAUAUUAAAUUAAAUCUGAAAGAGUCUACUUUCACAUGAAAGAAAUAGAGUAAGCAAAAGAGUUAUAUAUUUUUAGAUAUUUGAAAUUUAGUGAGACAAGGUUAGAAUGAUUUUGAAGUUCCAUGUUCUGACUUUAGAAAUUCAUUAAAAAUUGUACAAAAGGAAUUAUGAGUUAUAAUUUAUAUGUUUAAAUUCCUUAAUGAGUCUAUUUUAAGUAGAAAUAAGUGGAAGCACCAUAUGAAGUCUUUAAAAUGAGAUAAUUUAAUGUACUAAUUGGCUAAACCAAAAAUUCUUAAAAAUUUAUGGUGAAUAGAUAUAUGAGUUGAGUUUGAGGGAAAAUUUACAGAUCUAAAUUUUUAGUUUUGUUGCUUGAGUUAUAAUUAUUUUAGUGACUGCUGCACAGGUGGACAGCUUUAUUGUGAAUGGUGAAAUUAAUUUUUAAAGUAAAUUUUUAUGCCCCGAACUUUUAAGUUAAGUUGAGUAACGCCUCAUGCUCGACUCCGGCAACGGUCUCAGGUAAGGGGUGUUACAACCUAUUUUUUCUCUCACUUAUUUUGUAUUCUAGCAAUGUUUGCUUUCUUUGAUUAAUCCAUUCUUUUCAGAUUUUGUUCCUGAUAAAUCUCAGUUUUGUCCAUCAUUACGAUCUUUUUCAAGCAUUUUGCAUUGAAAUAACGAUUAAUGGACUAAUAAUACUUUCAUAAAAAGAGUUCUGCGUAUUACUCUGGAAGCUUCUAAAUAGUAUGAGGACCUGAAACAAGACUAUUAUUUAGAAAUAACCAGACCUAAGGGUUGGAAACAUUUGAGAAAAAAUAGUCUAAAUUAUGGCUAUUUCUUCAGGUUUUCUGUCAAAAAUACUGGUUGAACAACAAGGUAGGGUAAUGUAUCAGUGAUAGAACCUCGAUAAACAAUGAGCAAUAUUAACCUAAGCAUUCAAAGAGGAUUAUUCUCGAAAAAUGACAAUCUGUAUGCAUGCAAAUAUCAUUCAUACUCACCUAGUUAGGAGCAAUUGAUUCAUUCCGAUCAUGACAUCCUAAUCACUAGGCAUGAAUAGGUCCAUGAAAUGGAUUCUACAUGUCAUGUUCCCUAGAGAAUAGAUUAGCGAAACCAUAGAUCUUAUAUCCGUAAAGUUACAGUGGGAUGGAUUGAAUUCAUUAUGACGAAUCUUAUCUUCCUGAAGUUGUAGUGGAGCAGAUUAAAGCCACCAGCCUUAUCUCCCUAAAGUUGCAGCGUAGCACACAGAAGACAGUGAAUCUUAUUUCCCUAACGUUGUAGUGAAAUAGAUUAAACCUACAAAUUAUGGCAGAUCUUAUCUUUCUGAAGUUACAGUGGAGAAGAUUGAGGCCACCAACCUUAUCUCCCUGAAGUGCAGCAGAACAGACUGAAGAAAGUGAAUCUAAUUUCCCUGGCGUUGCAGUAGAAUAGAUUAAAGCUACAAAUUAUGGCUGAUCUUAUCUUCUUGAAGUUGCAAUAGAGCAGAUUGAAGCCACAAGCCUUAUCUCCCUGAAGUUGUAGCGGAACAGAUUGAAGACAGCGAAUCUUAUUUCCUUGGCCUUGCAGUGGAACAGAUGAAAACUACAAAUUAUGGUGGAUCUUAUCUUUCUGAAGUUGCAGUGGCACAGAUUAAAGCCACCAGCCUUAUCUCUCUAAAGUUGUAGCGGAGCAGACUGAAGAUAACAAAUCUUAUUUCACUGGCGUUGUAGUGGAACAGAUUAAAGCUAGAAAUUAUGGUGGAUCUUAUCUUCCUGAAGUUGCAGUGGAGUAGAUUGAAGCCACUAGCCUUAUCUCCUUGAAGUUGCAGCGAAGCAGAUUGACGACAGAAAAUCUUAUUUUCCUGGCGUUGUAGUGGAACAGAUUAAAGCUAAAAAUUAUGGCUGAUCUUAUCUUCCUGAAGUUGUAGUGGAGUAGAUUGAAGCCACCAGCCUUAUCUCCCUAAAGUUGCAGCGGAGUAGACUAAAGACAGCGAAUCUUAUUUCCCUGGCGUUGCAUUGUAACAGAUUAAAGCUACAAAUUAUGGUGGAUUUUAUCUUUCUAAAGUUGCAGUGAAGCAGAUUGAAGCCACCAGCCUUAUCUUCCUAAAGUUGCAGCGGAACAUACUAAAGACAACGAAUCUUAUUUCCCUGUUGUUUCAGUGGAACAGAUGAAAACUACAAAUUAUGGCAGAUCUUAUUUUCUUAAAGUUACAGUGGAGCAGAUUGAAGCCACCAGCCUUAUCUCCCUAAAGUUGCAGCGGAGCAAACUUAAGACAGCGAAUCUUAUUUCCCUGGUGUCGCAGUGGAACAUAUUAAAGCUUCAAAUUAUGGCGGAUCUUAUCUUCUUGAAGUUGUAGUGGAGCAGAUUGAUGCCACCAAUCCUAUCUUCCUAACCCCUGAAGAUGCAGUGGGAUGGAAUAAGACUCCUUCAAGAGAAGAAACACCAAAAAGUGAAGACUCGGUAAGACUGGGCAAAAUUAGCCCUUUUAAAGUCUUUGCUCCAUUCUCGUUACAUGACAAUGAGCAAAUAGGGGUAGCUGUAAUAGCCCAAUUUUACCCGGGCCUAGUGCCAAAACCAAAAAAAAACCAAGAAUAAAAAUUGAGUCCAAAAUAUAAAGAGUGCAUUUACAAUAAAUAAACCCAAAUUACUUAAAAACCACUACCCAAACUUUACAAGCCCAAACAACCCAUAACCUAAACUAGCAACAGAAACCCUAAUACAGUCGCCAUUCCUAGCCGCAACCCUUAGUCCUGCUCCUGGCCGCCGCACGCUUGCCACCUCUAAGCGCGUCGUACGCGUCUGACAGCUGCAGAGAGAAAUCAAUGCAAAACAGUUGAAGAAACAACUAGGAAAAAAUAUAGAAAUUAAAAGUUGUAACUUGGCUAUAAAAGCCGAAAUGUCCUCUUUGUAUUUUUUUUAAAAAACGCACACCAGAGUAAUCAAAAAAAAGAGAAAAAUCAAAGAAAAGUUAAAAAUAAAAAGAAAAGAGGUUUUGAAACAAAUUAGAUUAAAAAAAGUGUCCUUUUUUACUCUUCUAUAUUUUUUAUUUUUCUCUAUUUUUGUUAUCUUUUUUUCCUUAUUUGUGUUCGAAAAGAAAAAAAAAUAAAAUAAAAAAGGGAGAGACCGAAUCUUACCUUUCUGGGUGUUUACGCCGUCUUGGAGGGGGUCGAGGUUGUCGUCUCCGAUGAAAGACAACAUUUUUGGAAUCGAGAGUCAAAAAGGCCAAAAAUGGCCAAUCUUUUUAUCGGUGCUCCGGUGACUGGAGCUAGGCCGGAGUUCGGCCGGCCAAAAGGGGGGUUGAGAGAAUUUUUUAGGGUGUUUUAGUUUUUUUCUGUGUGAAACGAGGAAGAUGAAAUUUUUUUAAAAUUUUUUUGACUUUUAUAAGCCCCUGAAACGACAACGUUUAGGGCUAGCCUCCAUAGCCCCAAAACGGCAUCAUUUUGAGCCUUAACCCGUGCGACCCGAACCGCUCUAGGGGGAUCUUCGUGUUUUCGUUCAAUGGGAUAUUUACGCCCUUGACCCUUCUGCAUUCUUGUUCUUUUUAAUUUAGUCCUUUUGCUGAUUCAUUUAUUUUAUAAAUUUAACCCCAAAAUUUGCGGCGCAUUUCAAUCGAGUCCUUGCUCCACUGACGCUUUGGAAAAUGGACACGUGUCCGAAUUUGGGGUUUUUACCCAUUUGGUCCUCGGCCUUUUUGUGUUUUUUUUAUUUUAGUCCUCAUUUGUUUAUUUUGUCAUAAUUUUUAAUUUUUAAUUUCUUUUUUAUUAUGAUUUAGUCCUUAAUUUUUUUUAUUUCAACCUUUUUGCAAACUUGUUUAUUUAUUUAUUUUAAAAUCUUUUACUAUAUUACUUAUUUUAAACUUUUUUAUUAUUACUUAUUUUAAGCUUUUUUUCAUAUAUUAUUAUUUUAAACUAUUUUAUACUUUAUUCAUUUUAAAUUGUUUUAUAUGGUAUUCAUUUCAAAUUGUUUUAUUGUGUAUUAUAUUAAGCUAUUAUAUAUAUUAUUUAUUUUAAAUUACUUUAUAUAUUUUUUUGAACUAUUUUAUAUUUUAUUUAUGAUAAGUUUUUCAUAUGGUUUAUUUUCAACCAUUUUGUAUAUUAUUUAUUUUAAAUUUAUUUUAUAUAUUAUUCAUUUUAAACUUUUUUUAUUAUUUUCUUUAAAUUGCUUCAUUUAUCAUUUAUUUUAAACCUUUUUAGAUUAUUUACUUUAAAUUGUUUUUUACAUAUUGAUAUUAAAAUGACAUGUGUUGUGUGAUUAUUGCCAUUAUGUGUAUUAUAAUUCAUUUAUUCGUAUUUUCAAGUUAUUGUGAUUCAUUAGUGUAAUAUUUUAUUCGUAAAUUAUUAUACCAUGUUGUAUAUUAUCAUUCCAUCACAUUUCAUUAAAAUCAUUUCAAAGGUCGCAUUUAAAUUUUUUUUCCUUUGUUCACAAUGGCCAUUUUAUUAUAUUUCAACUAAAUAGCACGCAUCGUUUAGGUUUUGUAAUCGCUAUUAUUCAAAAAAGAAAAAAAAGAAAAUUUCAAAAAUAAGGCAAUGUUUCAUUUUUGGAAAUUCGAGAAGCCGUACCCUAACUUACGGGGUUUCAAUUUUCUCGUUAAAUCUAAACAACCGAACAUCCUUCUAAAUUUAAAAUACCUAAGUUUUGAAUAAAAAUUUCUAAAGUAAGCUUGUUCUCGAGGGUUCAAAAUGUCGUGUCCUAACUUACAGGAUGUGACAUUUAUAUUCUCGAGACCAAAGGGUCUUUGCCAUUCGUUUCAAUUUAUUCAAACAUUUUUCUUAAAAAUUAACAUUAAUAAAGAGGGAUCAUAUUUUAAAUCCUUUUCGAGUUUUCAAUUUUCGACACUAAGACAUUAAUUAAUCAAUUAGGUACCAAUUUUGGAGGUUACGAGAGUGCUAAUCCUUCCUCGUACAUAAUUGACUCCUGAACUCGUUUUUGUGAAUUUCGUAGACCAAAAUUAUUGUUUUAAUAAAUUAAACUGUUACGAAGUGACCCGAUCACACCUCAUAAAAAUGAUUGGUAGCAACUCCCUUUUUCUUUUUCUUUAAAAUAAAAAGUCGAUACCGUUUUCAAAAAAAAUGGUUUCAACAGGAUUUUUCUUAAUUAUAUUUUGAAUGUGAAAGUAUAUUCUAUUUUUAAAAAACUUUACAUUCCGAUGUAGCAUUUUUAAUUAGUAAGGUUUCAAUUAAGUUUUUGGCAUAAUAGUAAAUAAUUAAAAGUUUUAUAUUUUUAAUAUUAUUCAUGCAUAGUACGGUGUACUAUGUUCUGGCAGGUGUGACUAGAAUUGAUCGGAAUGAGUUGGUGCAAUUGGUACGGACCGAAAUUUUCACCAGUGUAGAAAAAGGGUGUUGGGUGUUUUGCAAUGUUAAUGAAACCAAACCAAAUAGACCAAGAAUCGAUGAACCCGAGAACUAGAGUAAACUGCAGUUAAACUGCAAAUCAUCAGCCGAUUAAGUCGUUUUUUCACAACAUAAACAAAUAAGCACCAUUUCUCUUAUUACUUUUUCUACUAAAAUAAGUUUUUUUUCUCCUAAAAAACUUAAGAUGGACUUAUAACAUUCAAUCAAAGGAAAAAAAAAGACAAAUUAGGAAAGAUAAAAGAUGGGGAGAUGAAAUAUGGGGAGAGGGUUUUAAAAUUCAAAGCCUUAAAAUAGAUGAGUUUGGGGUUAUUAAUAUUAUUUUAUAUUGUUAAAUAGUAAAUUAAUUGUAUCAGUGGUUAAACCUAUGGGAUCGAGAAUUAAUGAUCUGAUUGAUUUGAUUAUCGAUCUAAUUUUAAAAACACUAAUAUUUCGGUAUAAAAUUGAAAUAGUGCACACAAAUUAGUAUAAUCGAAAUCUGUACGAAACCGACCACCCUAAUUUAAUACAUAAUUUGACAUGCAUAUAAAAUAUUAUCUUGGAAAUAUAUUGAAAGAGGAAAGUAAUCGUAUGUAAAUGGAUAACUUAGAAGAGAUAAUGAAGCAGGAAUCAUUAUAUCAGCAGUGGCAUCUUCUCGAUGUAUGGCUACUCACUAACUGGACUGCAUUUAUCGUUUGAUUAUUUUCUUAAUUAGCCAAACUCAUGUUAACAAUGGUAUAACAGUAAUUAAUUACGUCAUGGAUAGAACAUCAAUAUAUAAAUACCCAUAUAUAAUAAGCAAUAAUAUAUCAAAGUACACCAAAUAAUUGGAAUUGGAGAACUCUCAUUUAUACAAAGAAAUAUAAGUGGGCAAAAUCAAUACUUAUAAUAAAGACAUAAAGGUGACUAAAAUCCUUAUUAAAUUAGAUCCAGUAUGUAGCAGAUAAAAAACAUGAGGUAUUUCAAGGAGUAGAACGAGAAUGUGGUGGAAAAAAUAAAGGAAUAGAGGGAACUGCAGUUGGGAUUGUGGGGACUGAGGGAAUGCUUGGCAGAGGGGGUAGUCUUCUUGCCAAUGUGGUAGGAAGUGGAGGAAGUGCCCCAGGGUUUGGGAGAUUAGAGACAGAUGGCAAUGGUGGAAAAGAGAAAGAAAUAGAGGGAAUUGCAGUUGGGAUUGUGGGGACUGAGGGAAUGCUUGGUAGAGGGGGCAGUCCUCUUGGCAAUGUGGUAGGAAGUGGAGGAAGUGCCCCAGGUAAUGGGAAUGAUGGUCGGGAUGGCGUUCAGAGAUUAGGGGAGGAUGGCAAACUUUGCGUUUGAGGCUAAUACAAAAGAUGACAAGCUACUACUCCAACAUCAAUGCUUGCAAAUGACAAAGCCAUCAAGAAUGCUAAAGCAAAGCAAUUGAAAGAGGCCAUUUUUGUUUAGAGAUUUCAAAACAAAUGAAGCAGAUGAAACAAAGUUCUUUGUCCUAUCGUUUGUACGUAAGCAUGUAGUCAUUUGUCCCUUUAAAAGGUCUCAAAACUUUCUUUGCAGCUCUCGAGUGGUCAAUACCUAGAUUACUCUGAUGUCUUCCUGUUGAGACUAUAGAGUAGAAUAUUUGAAAAAAUGGCUUGAUUUUCCAUUGAUUAAGAAAGAAUAUAUAUAUACACAAAUUGGGCAACAUAUAUAGGAACUAUCAUAGAAUUAGGGGAUUACAACUAGAAUUAGGGAAUUACAACUAAUUACAAUAUGUAGAAUAUCUUUGGGAAUUAAUUCUCUAAUAUGCCCCCUUAAGAUCUAGCUCUGAAGGAGACACCAAUCUUGACCCUUAAUACUUGGGAGCAUUUUCGUUGAAUCGGUUUGGUAAGAGCAUCAACAAGUUGAUCUGUUGAGGAAACAUGAGUAACAUGAAUAGUGCCUGAUUGAACUUGAUCUUGAAUAAAGGGAUGGGCAAUUGCAACAUGUUUCAUUCGUGAAUGAAAGACUGGAUUAAAGAAGAAGUAGCUGGCACCAACAUUGCCAUAAUAAAUAAGAAGCUGUGUAGGAAGAUUGACUCCAAGCUCUAUGAGAAGAGAAUAAAUCCAAUUGAUUUCUAAAGUAUGAGCGGCAACUAAUUGAUACAUAGCUUCUGUGGAUGACUAAGAAAUUGUGCAUUGUUUUAUGGAUAACCAAGAAAUAGGAUGACGACUAAGAUAAAUAAUAUAAACACUCGUAGAGGUAUAAUCAUCUUUGCUACUAAUAACUCUUGAAAAGAGUUAUAUUUAAUGCCUCUAGACCUAGCUAAUUGCUUGAACUUAAGUACAUUUUGUUGCAUUUUAGGACAUUUUAGUUAGCAUUUUUAAUAUUGCAUUAGGACUUUGACUGUUUUUGAAUUAGGCGCUUUUAAUCGCUUGUAAUGGAUUUUUUUGUGUGGUAGGAACAAGUUUUGGAACGAGGAAAUAAAGGAGUGAAGUUUUGUUAGGGCAAAGUACAGACAGUUUGCUAACACGGAUGUCAUGGCAAUGCUAGGAAAACCAAGUCAACAUUUUCCGUGCAGCAAUCUUAGUUCAAAUUCAAACUUUUACUAGAUAAAUCCCCCUGAAAGAGGAAAAGAUAAUCACAAGUUGUUAGCCAACCCUAGCCUAAUCUAUCUAUAGAAUCCGAUGAAGGGGACCUCACAAAGGGCAAAAAAAAAGUGACAGAGAUCCUUAGGUGUGAAUAAGGGUUCGGCUGCACAAAAGAAAGAAAGUCAAAAGCAGUCCUUCUUGGCCAUCACAAGUUGUUGUGAUACCAAAGUAUGGACUUGGCAAGCGAAAGUUGUUUCUUGAAGUUCUUUUGUUAGUUCCAUUAGUGUUCCUUCAAAAGAUUGCAUUGAAGUAGUUGAACACAAUGUCGGAUAAUAUUUUGGUUUGGAAUUUUAUUUCCCAGCCCAUGAGCUAAAUCUCAUAGGGUUGGGAUUACUUUUGAUGAAACCUUAAACUAUUUUUAAGGAUGGAGUAUAUCUCUAAUUUACUUUACUGUUUCAUUUGAUUGUUCUUAUUUCUUAACUAAAAUGCAAAUGAUCUCUAGACACAGAAGACUCUUCGCAUACUUAUAAACUAAUUCUCAUUUCGAAAGGGUUGGGUUGAUCGGAUUAAAAUUAAAUGAAAUGAGCAAGUAUUCGAUAGACACUUGUAGUCGAAUCUAGACAUAGUCACGAUCAUACAGAAGGAACCCAUGCAAGAUAUCUAAAAAGCCUAUAGAUACGGGCAAGGUAACUUGAGGUUUUGCUUUUGUGAGAGGUAGGCCAUUUUAGAACUUUUCUUUGCAGUAAAGUAGAUACGAUUUUGCCAAGACAUUAUUGAUAGUAAGGGUCAAUUCUGGGUAAUCCUGACCUUCCAAAUCCACAUCGUAUAUCUUUUAUUCUUUGCCAUAGUAUCUUUGCCACGUCAUUAUUAGUUAUUUAUUUGUUUAUUUACAUAAUAUUCCCAUAGUAAUUCUCAUAAAUGCCAUUAUAUUUCUACUUUUAUUUUUCCAUAUAAUUUCUAAGUAUUCAUUAAUUCCACAUAUUGCAUACAUCAUUAUUCCUUUAAUUGCCACUACAUAUUUACUAUCGCUUUGCCAUAGCAUUAAUUACAUUUUAUUAUAAUAAUUUGACCACUUUUUCACCUCAAUCCGAUCCUCGUGAGAACGAUAUUCACUCAUCACUUUAUUACUUUAACUGACAUGUAUACUUGUACAAAAUCACAUAUCAUUUUACACACGAUAAGUUUUUGACGCUAUUAUUGGGGAUUGACAAUUUGGUGAAAUUUGGUUUGGUUAUUUUAUUUAGUAGUUUUAUUUAACUUAGUGUAUUUACUUUUUAUAGGUUUUCCAUCAGUGCAUAAGAAGAGGCAUUCCUACUAACACAAAAUACCUUUUUGAUCCAGAGAUUGACAGAACCUAGCGAAUAAAGAGAAAAGACUUGAGAAAAAUGGCUGGAAAUAGGAAUGAUCUUAAUGGUAAUCUAAAUGAUCGCAAUAAAAAUUCUCCCAUUGGAUGUGUGGUGGAUGAUCGAGAUAGGCCAAUUAGAGAGCAUGUCAUCCUAAUGCUUAAUGAUUUGAAUCGAGGGAUAGUCAGACCAACCAUACAAGCUCAACAAUUCGAGUUGAAACUGGUAAUAUUCUAGACGUUAGAAAUAGUAGGACAGUUCGGUGGACUACCCACUUAAGACCACAAUUACAUUUAAGACUCUUUUAGAAAUAUGUGAUUCAUUCAAAUAGUAGGGUGUUCCAAAAGACGCCUUGAAGCUAAAGCUCUUUCCAUAUUCUUUAAGAGAUCAUGCAAGAGCAUGGAUAAAUGCUUUGUCGUCGGGAACAAUGGCAUACUAUGGAUAAAUGCCAACCAUGGAAUGAUCUUUUCUAGAGAUUCUUGAUAUGGUACAACUCGCAUACUAUGAAUGCCAAGUUGAGAAAUGAUAUUACGUCUUUUCAGUAGAUGGAGGACGAGAUAAUAUAUGAAGCUUUAGAACGAUUUAAUGAGUUAAUUCAGAAAUGCCCAAUGCAUAGAUUCUAGCAUUGGACUCAAAUGGAGAUGUUUUACAAUGGGUUGAAUGCAUACACAAGGAUGGUAGUUGAUGCGUCUGCCAAUGGUACUUUUUUGGACAAAAAUUAUAAUCAAGCAUACGAGAUCUUGGAAAAGAUUGCCAACAAUGAUUAUCAGUAUCUAACCACAAGAGCUGGAACAGGUAAGAGAGCUGCCGGUACCACCGAGCUUGAUGUAAUCCCUUUGUUAAUGGCCCAAGUAUCUUCUCUAGCUAAUAUGAUUAAAAUCAUGAAAAAUCCAACUGUAGCCCAUGAAAUGAAAUCAGUAGACUUGCCAUGUGUUUGAAAAAUUCCCAUCAAAUCCAGCGUCAGUAUGCUAUAUGGGUAAUUCCAAUCGAAACAACAAUCCAUAUUCCAACACUUACAAUUCAAGGUGGAAGCAACGUCUAAAUUUUAGUUGGGGUAAUUAAGGUGCAGGAAACUUCAACAAUGCCGCAAGACAGAAUGUCAACAGUGCACCGCCUGGUUAUGUUCAACCUAUGCCAAAGCAAAAUAACCAAUAUGUCAAGUAUCAUCUCCUACUUCUAUUGAAGUUUUGUUAAAAGAAUAUAUGGCCAAGAAUGAUGUUGUAAUUUAGAGUCAGGCUAUAUCUCUCCGAGUGCUUGAAAAUCAAGUGGAGAAAAUAGCGAAUGCUCUAAAUUCAAGGCCGUAAGGAGCAUUGUCGAGUGAUACCAAGAAUUCAAGAACACAAGGCAAGGAUCAUUGUAAAGUAAUCACCCUUAGAAACGAGACUCAGUUGAGUGGUAUUGUUCACGAUGCCGUGGCAAGAGAGGAUAAGCAUAUGAAAAGCAUACAACAUUUGAAAAUGAUAAGCAGGAAAAUGUUAUGAUAAAAUCAAUCAGGUUGCCAACAAAAAAUGCCAUAGGAAAACAAUAUCAACAACUUGAAGGACGACCACCUCUACCUUUUCCUCGACGAUUCCAUAAUUCCAAAAAAGAUCUCAGUUUAAAAGAUUUUUGGAAUUUUUGAAGCAACUCCACAUUAAUAUAUUGCUAGUCGAAGUUUUGGAGCAAAUGCCCAAUUACGUGAAAUUCAUGAAAGAUAUAUUGUCGAAGAAACAUAGGUUGGGAGAAUUUGAGAUUGUUGCUCUCACCGAAGGGUGCAUAGUAACAUUGAUGAAUAAGUUGCCUCCAAAGAUAAAGGACCUAGAGAGUUUCACUAUCCCAUGUUAAAUUGGAAAUCAUUAUGUAGGAAAAGCAUUAUGUGAUUUUUGAGCAAGUAUAAAUAUAAUGUCUAUGUCUAUUUUCAGGAAGCUAGGAAUUAGGAAAGCAAGAUCUACCACAUAACGUUGCAAUUGGUUGACCGAUCUUACGCCCAUCCAGAAGGUAAAAUUGAAAAUGUAUUGGUAAAAGUGGAUAAAUUUAUCUUUCCUAUUGAUUUUCUUAUUUUAGAAUGUGAGGCUGAUCAUGAUGUACCAAUUAUUCUUAGAAGACUGUUUCUUGCUACUAGCAGGACCCAAAUUGAUGUAUAGAAGUGCGAGCUAACCAUUAGAGUGAAUGAUCAAUAGGUUACUUUUAAUAUGUUUAAUGCAUUAAAAUGCAUGAAUUAGAAUGAGGAAUGUCAUGCCAUUGACUUGAUAGAAUCAACAGUGGACGAAUUCACAAAAUUUUGAUACAACAAUUCUGACAGUGAAGACGAUUUGAUGGAGCAAUGUGACACAAUAAGUUUUGAAGAGCUUGGUGAAAUUAUGGAAUCCGAGCAGAUAAUUGAUAGGCUAGGGAAGAAAUUUGGAUCCCUUGAUUUAUCAGAACGAUCUUUUAAGACUCUUAAACCAUUUGUAGAGGAAUAUCUCGCUCUAGAGUUAAAACAUCUACCAUAACAUUUGGAAUAUGCAUAUUUGGGAAAUAACAGUAUUUUUCCAAUUGUAAUUUCUGCUAAGCUAACACUUGAGCAAGAGGACAGGUUAUGUAACACCUCUAACCCGUGUCCGUCGCCGGAUUGGGGUUACGGGAUAUUACCGAACAUAAAGCCUAUUUGUAAUUUUAGUUAACUUAUAAAUUUUUUAUAACAUAAACAAAAUGAGUCAAAUCAAGAAUACCAAAUUUGCAUACUUAAUAAUUAAUUCAAGCACAUAUACUAACCAUUCAAGAAAAAUAAAAGUAUACAUUUUACCGAUUCAAUUAAACCAAAGUACACAAUAAUUAUUCAAACAUAUAAAAUUAUUCAACAAAACAAAUACCUAUUUUAAUGUGAUCAAUAAUUUCAGGCUUUAGCGAAUAUACCCUAUCCUCUAAUAAGGCACAUGACCUGCUUAUUGAUAGAAUACACACCCAAACCAAAUUUUUUUAUAAUCACCAACAUCUUCAAACUAAACAUGUUUCAAAUACACUCUAUUUAUAAAUAUAUUAUUUCCAUAUACUUAAUUAUCACUUAUUAAAAUUUUAAUCAAUCUAUGCACAAGUAAUUCAAACGUAAUUAUACCACAUUUGGCAGUACAAAAAUAUAUAUAAUAUCCCUUAACAUAUAAGUUUCAGCCCAGUAUGUAUAAUUUCAUAAUAAAUUAAGUACAAAGUAAAAUACUCAUCAACUAAUACAUUCAUUACUCAUACUUAAAUUAAUUUGGUUAAAUUAUAUCAAAUCAAUGUAGUACCACCUACUAAACGAACCAUUCAUAUAUAUAUUUAAAUGUGUAUAACAAUUUAUGCACUUAACUAUAAAUUAUAAUACCUAACAUGUAAUAAAACCAUAACUGAAUGUAUAUAUAAGACCAAAACCAAAUCACAACAUACAACUAUGACAUACUCACUAAUACCUAUUCACACUUACAUUCCACUUAACAUCAACCAAUAUAUAUAUACAUUCGAUCUUUGAUUCAUCUUAUAACCGAAUCACCCAACACAAAUUCAUAACAACUAUAUACCUAAUAUAAACUUAAACUAUAUCUGAAUAUACACAAGAAAAACAUCCAUUUUUACUUAUUUUACCAUAUGCAUCAAUACCAAACCCAAACAAAAAGGAGAUAAGCCAUUUUCACAUGGCUAUUAAUUACACAUACACAUUAGUUCCAAAAUCAACAUAUUAACUAUGCUAUACAUGCCAUAUACUCAAAAUCAACUUAGUAAAGUACCGAAGGAAACUGUCGAUAGUAUGAUAAGUCUUGCUAACGAUCCCCGAGCUCGUAACCAGUUCCAAAAUCUAUAAAACAAAGAAUAAAUAUACACACAGUAAGCUUUAGCAGCUUAGUAAGUCAUAAGCAAAUAUUUUUCCCAUUAACAUUAAUAUCAACCAAUUUACCAAGCUACUAAAUAAAAUAUUUAUAUAUACAUUUAGCUUUAUAAAGUUGAAUGAAUAAAUACUUAAAUACAUGCAUCUUAUUCAUGUCAUAAAUUAUAAUUGUACUAAUAGAACCAAAUCACUUAUAAAUACAAACCUACUUACACAUUUUACAUUUAUCAAUUAAUCUUGAACCAUCAAUUCACUAUAAACUUACCUUAACUUCAUAGCAUGGCAUAAAUACAUGCCUGAACUUUUAAAUUUGUUUUCACACUCGGUCAUUAAUUAACAUUGCCCGUUGAACUGUUUAGAAUUAAAAAGGAUACGUGGAAUAGUCGAAAAGCUCGUACAAUGCCAACGUCGCAGGCGUGGUCUUACAUGUAUUCACAAAUCGAUGCCACAGUCCUAGACAGGGUCUUACUCGUAAACACAAGUUGAUGCCAACGUCCCAGAUGUGGUCUUACACGAAAACACAUAUAAAAAAUCCUAUGUCAUGACAUAAGUAUCCUAUCUAUUCCUAGGGUUCGUACGGGGCUUUUGAAUACAGAAACCGGAUCAAAUCAAACUCAAAAAUGAAUUUCUCUGAUUCAAUACACAUUCAGCCAUACACAAUAUAUUCACAAAAAUUUUCAUUCAUAAUGUGAUAUUUAUAUAUUAUCAAAUUUAACAUCAAUUAAAUGCUUAGAGACUUACCUCGAAUGUCAUCGACUGUUAAAUCGGCUACUCGACCACCUUUGUUUUUCCCCGAUCCAAAACUGAUUUCUUUAAUUCUUAAUCUAAAAAUAUUCAAAUUAAACUUGUUUAAACACCAUUCUAAUCAAUUUAACCAAAAAACACAUAAAUGGGCCAAUUACAAUUUUUCCCCUAACAUUUCACACUUUUUACAAUUUAGUUCUUUUUGCUUAAAACACAAAAUACACAAAAUUUGACUACACUCCUUUAUGGCCGAAUAUUCCUAGGGUUCUUAAAACCCCAUACAUUUCAUUUAUUUCACAUUUUAGCCCCUAAAAAAUUAUUUUUACAAUUUAACCCUAUUUACUCAAAUUCAUCAAAAAUUCAAAGACAAAACAUGCUAAUCUUUCAUAUUUCAUCAUCAACCAUCACAAAGCUCAAGCAUUCAUAAAAUGGUACAUUUCAAAAUUAUCAACAAUUCACAAAAUUAAAGCAUGUGUUUUGAAGUAUUCGAAGCAACGAUCUCAAAAACGUAAAAAUUAUCGAAAACCGAACAAAAACGGACCUUGAAUUUAAGCUUGAAGAUGGCCGAAACUUAACUAAGCUUUCAUGACUUUCUUCCUUCUUGAUUUCGGCUAAGAAGGAUGAUAAUAAUAUAAUAUUUUAUGCUUUUAACUAUAUUAUAUUAUAAUAUUUGUUAAUUACUAAUUUAACCUUAUUUAAAUAAAUAUAACUUAUAUAUAUAAUAAGGUUAGUUUUUUCCUUAGCCAUCCACUAACUAUUUAGUGGUCUAAUUUCAUGUUUAAACCUCCCAAUUUAAAAGACAACAACAAUUAAAUACUUUUAGCUUUAACCCUUAAUUUUUUUAUUUUUACGCGAUUAAGUCCUUUUUCUUUAAUCAGUUACUCAAACAACACAAUUUAAACACAAAAAUUUCACACAAUCAAAUUCACACAUAAUAAACUCAUAAAAUAAUAUUAAAAUAUUUUUUUGACUCAGAUUUGUGGUCCCGAAACCACUAUGUCUGAUUAGGGUCGAAAUUGGGCUGUCACAGGUUGUUAGAAGUGUUAUGGUGAUCUGAAAGAGCACUAAGUUGGACCCUUGCUGAUAUAAACGGAAUUAGCCCUACAUUUUGUAUGCACAAAAUUUUAUUGGAAGAUUUCCAUAGCAAAACCAUUGAAUAGCAGAGACAACUAAAUCCAAUUAUGAAGUAAGUUGUCAAGAAAGGAAUUAUCAAGUGGCUUGAUGCUAGCAUUAUUUACCCAAUUUCCGACAGCUCGUGGGCAAGUCCUAUGCAAUGUGUACCCAAGAAAAGGGGUGUCACAGUAGUAAGUAAUGUCAACAAUGAGCUCAUAUUGACUUCUACUGGUACAGGAUGGAGACUAUGUAUGGACUACCACAAGCUUACCAAGACAAUUAGGAAGGAUCACUUCCCUCUACCAUUCAUCGAUCAAAUGUUGGACAGAUUAGUUGGCAAGGAUUUUUAUUACUUCCUAGAUGGUUAUUUAGGAUAUAAUCAGAUUACCAUAGACCUGAGGAUCAAGAGAAGACAACUUUCACGUGUCCAUAUGGCACUUUUGCAUUCAGGUGGAUACUGUUCGGGUUAUUCAAUGCCUCAGCAACUUUCAAACAUUGCAUGAUGGCCAUAUUCUCGGACAUGGUGGAAAAUUUCCUUGAAGUUUUUAUGGAUGAAUUCUCUUUGUUCGGAAAUGAUUUAAAUACUGUUUACGAAAUUUGAUGAUGGCUUUAUGUCGUUGUGAAGAAAUGAAUCUAUUAUUAAACUGGGAGAAAUGUCAUUUCAUGGUCCGUGAAGGAAUUGUCCUAGUACAUAAGGUGUCAUAGCGAGGAAUUGAAGUAUACAGAGCAAAAAUAGAAGUGAUCAAAAAAUUGUCACCGUCCACUAGUGUUAAGGGUAUUAGAAGUUUUCUAGGACACACAGGAUUCCUUGUGUACUUUAAUUGAACAGAAUAAGCCUUUUAAAUUUGAUGAUCAAUGUUUACAGGCUUUUAAGGAACUCAAGAAGUGACUUGUAGCUACACCGAUUGUGGUUGCUCCAGAAUAGACAUUGCCUUUUGAACUCAUGUAUGAUGCUAGUGAUUAUGUCGUGGGAGCAGUUUUGGGUCAAAGGAGAAACAAUGUUCUACAUGAAAUAUAGUAAUAGGAUGUUGACAGAGACUCAACUUAAUUAUACCACUACGGAGAAGGAAUUACUGGCAAUGGUCUUUGCAUUUGACAAAUGUCAUUCUUAUUUAGUACAGUCUACACAGAUCACUCAGCUAUCAAGUACUUUGUACGGAAAAAAGAUUCCAAACUGAUAUUGAUUAGGUGGAUACUUUUCUUACAAGAGUUUGAUUUGGAAAUUAGAGAUUGGAAAGGAACCAAAAAUCAAGUGGCUAACAAUUUGUCAAGAAUAGAAUUGAGGAAUAAAAAUGAAAGUAAGAAAUAUACUAAGGCAGAAUUCCUAGAUGAAUAGUUUCUCAUUGCCAAGGCAUUACCUUGGUACGCCAACAUAAUAAACUUCUUAGCAAAUGGUGUAAUGCCACCUAACUUCAAUGCUAAAAAAAACAAAAAUUUCUUCACAAUGUCAAACAGUACUAUUGGGAUGAACCAUUCCUAUUCAAGCAUUGUGUAGGUCAAAUAAUUCGGAAGUGCGUCCCCAACAAUGAGAUGCAUCGUGUCUUACAACAUUGUCACUUAGCCCCAUAUAGAGGACAUUCUAGAGGGAUGAAAAUAGCUACCAAGGUAGUCCAGUCAGGAUUCUAUUGGCCAAGUUUAUUUAAAGAUGCUCAUGAAUUUUAUAGGUCGUGUGACCGUUGUCAAAGAAUAAGAAAUCUAUCUAGGAGACAGGAAAUGUCGUUGCAAAGUAUGGGUCCAUUUCCACCAUCCGUGGGUAAACUAUACAAACUUUUGGCAACAGACUAUGUUUCUAAGUGGGUAGAAGCAGUAGCCCUAGCCCCUAAUGAUGCUAAGUUAGUAUUAAAAUUUUUGCAUAAGGGCAUUUUAACACGAUUUGGUACACCGAGAGCCAUUAUCAGUGACGGGGGAUCCCAUUUUGAUUGCAAACUGGUGGUUAAUACCUUGCGAAGGUAUGGGGUGAAACAUAGAAUUGCCACGACAAUCACCCUUAAACAAAUGGCCAAGUUGAAAUCUCUAAUAGAGAAAUUAAAAAAAUUCUGGAAAAAAUGGUGAAUCCAUCUCGAAAGGACUGGUCUAUUAGAUUGGAUGAAGCGCUAUGGGCAUAUCAAACUGCAGUUGAAAUACCAUUAGGGAUGUCACAUUUUAAACUUGUUUACAAUAAGCCAUGUCAUUUACCUGUUGAACUUCAACGUAAAACGUUUUGGGCGAUUAAAAAGCUGAAUAAAGACUGGGUUGUUGUUGGCAGCAAGAGAUAGCUAGAAUUGAAUGAGAUGGUAGAGUCUCGAACAUAAGCAUAUGAGAAUGCUCGUUUGUAUAAGGAAAAGACCAAGCGAUGGCAUGAUGUCAGAAUUUUACCAAGACAAAUUGAACUUGGACUGCAGGUAUUAUUGUUUAAUUCCAGGCUCAAAUUAUUUCAUAGUAAGUUAAAAUCUCGAUGGUCAAGACCUUUUGAAGUAAUUCAAGUGUAUUUACAUGGUGCUAUUGUUGUUAAAGAACUAAUAAAAAAGGAUACAUUCAAGGUUAAUGGACAAUGCUUGAAGCAUUAUUGGGGUGCUCUUAUAGAGUGUGACAAGCAAAGCGUUAGCCUUUGUGAUGUUUGAAUUUUUGUUAAUAAGUAGUUUUAUUUCCCAUUUUUAUUUUUAUUCUCUUUAUUUUUAAUACAAUCUCAUUUAUGUUUUUAUUACUAUGAAUAGGAGCAGAAUAAAAGAAGCAGGAUUUGUUAGUGUAUAUAGAGCAGUAGUUUGCCGCAACAUUACAAAGAAACAUUAUUCAAUGAAAAAUUGAAUGAUGAGGUUUUAAUAAAAGAGUUGACUGGUUACAAAAUUCCAAAGGAAAGACUUUUAGGUAGUUGCAUUUAGUGACUAUUGGGAAACCUAAAGUAUGAAGCCCACAAUGUAGGGCUAAAUUAUUUUAUUUUUCCCCCAAAAGUCUUUUCUGUGUUUAACUUUUCCUCUACAUCAUAACCCUUCUCACUCACAUUUCCUAUUCCCUAAAAACUGUCAUCAUUAUUAUUAUUUAUUUUAUUCAACUCGUUCACGUUUCCCACUUCUCACAAAGUUCACAUUUUUACAGUUCUCUCAUAUACAACCUCUCUGUUAUUUGUUGUUUACUCUAUUAUUUUCCUUUUCUGUUUCCCUGACCUUCUCUUCAUGGCUAGUGUAAGGAGUACUUCUAAAACAAUAGAAUCUUCACGCACCGGCGCCCCACAACCAAAGAUAUUCUUUAAUGAUGCUGCUGUCACAAUGUAAUCAACUAAUAUUCUAAAGCGGCCAUUUUAUUUUGAACAAAUAUUUUUAUUAAAGGAUGAAACCUACAUGGGGUACGAUGAAUCGGUAUCCUCGAUUGUAGAAAAGCACAAUUGAAGGAAAUUUUGUUACACCUAGGGGAUGUUGUGGGUAAAGUGGUAAGAGAGUUUUAUGCCCAUGUAAAUUCCCCAAAUUAUCUCUUCAUUUAUGUGUAGGGUAAACCUGUGCCAUUUGAUGAAGACCAUGUUAAUGCACAGUUGGCAUCAUGGAGGUUAGAGAUGAGCAUUUUGAAUUUGCCGAGAAUAUUACACUAGAGGGGUUGGAAAAAGUAUUAGAGGAUUUAUGCAUUGAAGGAACACAGUGGAUUAUUUCAAACCAGGAGUGUUACACGAUUGAAAGAGCUACAUUAAAACCAAUUGGGAAGGUGUGAUACCACUUUUUAAGGAGUCGUCUUAUGCCAUCUACGCAUAACACGACUGUUUUGAAAGAAAGAAUGUUGUUGUCGCACUCUAUUCUACAAGGAAGAUAGAUAAAUGUAGGAAAGAUUAUCUUCCAAGAGGUCCAUAGGCGUGCUGAUAAAAAUACCGAGAGUUUGAAUUUUCCUUCCUUUAUUUUUAUCCUAUGUAUGAUGGAAAAUGUGCCUUUAGUCGAUGCUGAGGACAUUACCCCCAAUAAGGGUGGGAUAAUGCAAGCAAUUUUUGCCUAGCUAUGAGGAACUGAGUUUGCUCCAACAUCCCAACACAGUCAAGCUUCCCCUACAACAUGUAUUCCCGCGGCAACAUCUCUUGCCUCUCAUGACCAGAAAAUCUUAACUUCUCUAAAAUAGUUAGAAUAGAGGUUGUCACUAUUUGAGGUGUAGCAAUACCAUAUGAUGGAAGAGUUGGAACAAAGCAACGAACGCCAGGCUCAGUAUUGGUCAUAUGUAAAAGAUAGGGAUUUGUCAUUAAGAGGAUCCCUCUUGAAAAAUUUUUCAAGACCCAUGCGCAAAUCUCCUACUUUCCUAGCUACUUUGCUCUCGUCUAAUAAGUGCGAAAGGAGCCAGUUCCACUCGAUGCCAGAACUGACCCUGUGGCUGAAAGAGUCACUAUAGAUAAAAGAAAAGCUAUUGAGGAGGAGUUAGAAAAGCCAAGCUCUGUCGAACUAUAGAAAGAAGUAAAAGAAAGAAAUGAAGAAACAAAUGUCCCUACCACUGCACCUACUCCUGCCAUUAAAAAAGGUAAAACUCCUGAACCAACAUUUUCACCCAUCUCUAUGACUGUACAGGUUCAAAAAAUCAAUCAACUGAUUGAUGAACUAAUGGAGACUGACAAAGAAGUUAAGGAAGUUGACCUACAAAAAAGGAAGAUGAAAUACAAAGUCAAUGCUCGCAAGUCCACAAGAAAGAAUUGAAUGAAGUGCCAACAUUCCAGUCCAAGGAAGUUAAGUUUUGUUUUUCUUUCAUUCAUUGCAUAUUUUUUUUUCGUUUGUGUGUAUAUUUAUACUUUUUAUAUACUGUUCAUGAUUUUACAUGCAUUGAGGACAAUCCAUCCCUUAAGUUUGGGGGUGUAUUGUGCAUCUAAGUUGUAUUUUGUAUGUUUAUUUUGGUAUGUAGGAUAUUUUUCCAUGGCAUAAUAACUAUUGAAAUACUAUUUUUUCUAUAAGACGUACAAUUUUUCUUUAUGAUAUUCGAUGAUAAGUUUAAAUUUUUUUUCGAUAUACCUAGAAUAGGUAACAAUGGAUUGGGUGAAGUUAGCUCAGGCUAAGUUGCUUGGAAAUUGAUUUCUAAAAAUGGGAUGUCCUAUACUUUGUUUUUUUUUAUAGAUUUUCAAAAUAUAGUAAGUAUAUUUUUAAUGCCCUUAGGGAAUUUUGAAACCAAACAUUAUUUGAAUUGCUAUGACAUUUUGUUUAAAUAAGUAUGCACUCCAAUACUUAGAGUUGCUAAGUAAGUCAGCAUCACUUUGUUUGCUCCGUCGUGCUUUUGAUUAGAAAGGAGAACCUAAGUAAGAGUGUGUGGUAUAAUUUUAGGGGCAUUCCGUUAUAGUAAAGGACUGAGUAGCUAAGGAGGUAGUUGUAUGCUCCAUCCAUCUUUUUAGUUAAAACCCUUAGUUUUAUAAGUGACUUUUGGUUUAAAUUAUGAUAUAAUUCAGUACUCGACAAUUCGUUUUAUGCUCCAUCGUGAUUGUCAAGUCAAAGAAUUUUGUGACAUGCUAAAUCCCCUAAUAAUAAUAACAUUUACUUUAAAAAAAACAAGAAUAAAUAGAAGAAUAAAUAUAUGAAAAUGUGAAUAAUCUAUUCUGAUAUGGGCUUAAAGUAAGUGACUUAUGUUUAGGUAACGAAUGGACUAAGUAAAUAAAAAGAUAUUUGCUAUAGGACAAAAGAGAGAAUGCAUAGGUACUUAGGAAAUUUUGUUUUUAGGGAGAAAUUUUUGCAUUGUCUUUGCUGAACAAACAUUUGACAUUGGAAUUAGUUUUAGAAAAAGAGAAGAUUGUUGAGAACGAAGGUAUAAAUUAUUUUUCGAAUAGUUAGGUAGUACGAGAAAGUUUUUUUUGCCAAGGUAAGAUGGGUGCAUUCAUGCAUUUAGAUGUAUUUUGCUUGAGGACAAGCAAUAACUCAGGUUUGGGGGUGUGAUAACUCUUGAAAAGAGUUAUAUUUCAUGCCUCUAGACCUAGCUAAUUGCUUGUACUUAAGUACAUUUUGUUGACUUCUAGGACAUUUUAGUUAGCAUUUUUAAUAUUGCAUUAGGACUUAGAAUGUGUUGGAAUUAGGUACUUUUAAUUGCUUGCAGUGCAUUUUUGUGUGUGGCAGGAACAAGAUUUGGGAUGAGGAAAUAAAGGAGUGAUGUGUUGUUAGGGCAAAUUGCAAACAGUUUGCAAUCACGGAUGCCGUGGCAAUGCCGGAAAGACCAAGUCAACAUUUUCUGUGUAACAUUCUCAGUUCAAAUUCAAACUUGUACCAGAUAAAUCCCCUAAAAUAUGAGAAGAUGAUCACGAGCUGUUAACCAAUGCUAGCCUAAUCUAUAUAUAAAAUUCAAUGAAGGGGACCUCACAAAGGACGAAAAAAAAUGACAGAGAUCCUUAGGUGUGAAUAAGGGUUUUGCUGCGUAAAGGAAAAGAAAAUGAAGGUAGUUCUUCUUAGCCAUCACAGGUCACCGUGCUGCCAAAUUGUGGAUUGGGCAAGCGAAAGAUAUUUCCUUAAUUUCUUCCAUUAUUUCCAUUAGUGUUCCUUCAAAAUAUUGCAUUGAAGUAGUUGAACACAAUGUCGGAUAAUAUUUUGGUUUAGAGUUUUAUUUCCCAGCCCAUGAGCUAAAUCUCAUAGGGUUGGGAUUAUUUUUAGUUAAACCUUAAAAUUUUUUAUGGAUGCAGUAUAUCUUUAAUUUAAUUUAGCGUUUCAUUUGAUUUUUCUUAUUUAUUAACUAAAAUGAAAAUGAUCUCUAGACAUAGAAGACUAUUCGCAUACUUAUAAACUAAUUCUCAUUUCGAAAGGGUUGGGUUGGUUGGAUUAAAAUUAAAUGAAAUGAACAAGUAUUAGAUAGAGACUUGUAGUCAUCUCUAGACAUAGAGUCACGAUCAUACAGAAUGAACUCUUGCAAGAUAUCUAAAAGGUCUAUAGACACGGGCAAGGUAACUUGAGGUUUUGUUUUCGCGAGAAGCAUGCCAUUUUGGAACUCUUAUUUGCAGUAGAGUAGAUAUGAUGUUGCCAAGGCAUUAUUGACAAUAAGGGUUGAUUUUGGGUAAUCCCGACCUUCCAAAUCCACAUCGUAUAUCUUUUAUUCUUUGCCAUAAUAUCUUUGCCAUGUCAUUAUAAGCUAUUUAUUUGUUCAUUUACAUAAUAUUCCCAUGGUAAUUCUCAUAAUUGCCAUUACAUUUCUACUCUUGUUUUGCCAUAACAUUUCCAAGUAUUCAUUAAUUCCACAUAUUGCAUACACCAUUAUUCCUUUAAUUGCCACUGCAUACUUACCAUCGCUUUGCGGUAGCAUUAAUUGCAUUUUAUUAGAAUAACUUGACCACUUUUGUGCCUCAAUCCGAUCCUCGUGGGAACGAUACUCACUCAUCACUUUAUUACUUGAACCGACGUGUAUACUUGUACAAAAUAGCAUAUCAUUUUACAUGCGGCAGUUGUCAGCCCAACCUGCACCUAAGAAGGCAUGAAGAGAAAGUGAAUUUCAUUUUCAAAGAAAUAAUCCAUGAGUCAGUGUGCCACACAGAUACUGAUGUAGCUGUUUUGUAGCAUUCUAAUAUCCAGAUGUUGGGCGGUGCAUGAAUUGAGAUAGCUUGUUGAGAACAUUAUGUUAUUUUUGGGUGAAUGAAGUAAGAUAUUAUAGACUAGCAACAGUGGUUCUAUAUUCUUUGUAGUCAAUCAAUGUUGUACCUAAAUGAAGUGUAAGAUUUCCAUCAAUAGCAAGUGGUGUAGCAAUAGGGUGUGCACCAGAUAUUUUUGUUUGGGUAAGAAAACUAGUGAUGUAGUGCUUUUGUGUAAGCAAUAGACCAGAUGAAGUGGUGAGAAAUUCAAUGCAGAAACAAUAGGACAAGGCACCAAUAUCCUUGAUUGAAAAUUGUUGUGCUAGGAGAUCAAUGUAGCAUUGAACAACAUUAGUGUUUGUACCUAUGAGAAUAAUGUCAGCUAUAUAAACAAGUAUAUAUACUGUAGUGGCACCUGAGUGGAGUAUGAAAAGUGAAGUGUCUGAAUGAGAGUUUGUGAACCUAGACACAAUGAGGAAUUGGUGAAGUUUAAGGUACCAAGCCAGUGGGGCUUGUUUGAGUCCAUAUAUAGCUUUUUUUUAAUUUACAUACAGGUGAUAGGUUGUCUCGAUCAACAAAUCCUAGAGGUUGGGCCAUGUAGACAUCUUUGGAAGGAUGACCUUGAAGAAAGGCAUUAUUAACAUCUAAUUAUCGCAAAUGCCAACCUCUACUAACUAUUAGGCUUAGAACAAGGUGCAUUAUUGUUGGCUUGACACCUUCACUAAACGUGUCAUAAUUAUCCACACCAGGUAGUAGAUGAAAACCUUUGACAACUAAUCUAGCUUUGUACCUAUUAACCUUUUCCUGUAUUACUGAGAGUUUUUCCCUCUUUUUAGAAACAUAAUGAAUUCUUCUGCACUAUUCACCAUUACCAACAAAACCUUUCACUAUUUAUUCUUAAUCAUUAAUGAAAUUAUAGCUUAGAAUUAAUUACUUUAUUCAUAUUAAUUAUCAAUUUUGUAACUCCUAUUCUUGAAACACUAUAAAUAAGAGUCUUUCACAAUAGGUGAAAUGAAUUUUUGUACUUUUGGCAUUUUCAGCAUUUUGAACUCUCAAUGAAUUCUCUCUAAAAUUCUCUCAACUUUCUUCUUUGUUAAGCGUGAUCAAUAGCUAUUUUUUCCUUUUUGCACUUUACCGACCACCACCUACCGCUGCAAUCAGUGCUACCGAAUCUCCUCCAAUCUCUCGCUACGCCUUCUUCUAGUAUAGCUCAUUCACUUUCUUGCAACGCUUCUUCUCUCUAUCAAAAGAAUCUUCUACACCUAUUUAUACCCAAAUCCUCUUACACCCAUUGGAACACAGUCCUAAGCCUUAUUGGUUUUCUAAACCAGUCAAAACCCAUUGGUCGAAAAGAGGCGGUUUAGCACAAGCAGGGUUGCUCCAGCACCCAUAGCUGCAGGGAGUAAUGCCCUAAGUAUGCAAGCACCUGUGUGAGGUGGUUUAAUCCCACACACUCGAUUCAUACAUCCAAGUAGGUACCCAUCUACCUGGCGCAUCUGGAAGACCCAUUAGGGGUGACAAGAUGUUGCGACACCUCGUCUAGUGACCACGCAGUCGGCUUGCGUAACAAUUACCUUGUCUCGAGCAUAUUCAUAGCUAGCUAGUUCAAACGACUGUGCAUAUUGUUUAAUUGGUCCCUUAGCUUCCAAGAGUAAUCCCUUGACUCCAGUAACUUGCAUAUGCCUUAAGAAUGUCAGAAACCUUGUUUACCAAAAUGCCCCUGAGCUACAUGUUUAGUGUUUUCUUGACAUGCCUCCUUGUCAAGUUGCUCUUUUGUUGGUCGAUUCAAACACCUUAAUCUCUCAUGCCAUGAAAAGAUCCGUUAUCUUUAGUGAGUAAGAACUCACUCCAAUGUGAAGAUGUUUUUACAAAUAUAGCCCCACUUAUUUUUCUUUCUCAAUCAUUCCUUUAUUUUAUUGGAUUUAAAGGUAGGUAAUGAUCAGGUAAUUUAUUUCCCUAAUGUUUUUAUCAAAAUAUACAUAGUGUAUUUGUAUACAAAGUGAAUACAUGAAAAUCAUCACUCGGAUAUGAUAGCAAAUUAUAUAUGUAAUAACUAGUGAAUACAUCAUAAAGCUUGUUAUUGUUUUUAUAUAACAAUUUAAUAAAUAUAUAAAUUUUAUCAUUAUAAAUAUGAGUUUAAUUCUUAUUUAGUAUAAAAUGAUUUUAAGUAUUUAUUUUUAAUUUACCUAUGGUUUUAAUAAUUUUGAAUAUUUUUAACAAAAACAUAAUUUAAUUUUUAAUACAAAAUGGUUUUUAAGUAAUUAUGUAUUAUAUUACAAAACAUUUUAAAUUAAUGUUUUUAAGAGUUGUUAUCAUUGUCACUUCACAGUUACAACAACUUUUGAAUCUAAAUAAAUAUAUCACCAUUCAUUUUAAUUUCACCGCCAUUGUUGUUUUUAAUUUUAUCGAAGCUGAUCUCAUUGAUCAUUCAAAGGAAUUAGCUUGAACCUAUCCUAUGAACACCUAAUCCAAAUAGAUUUUUCAAUUGGUUGAGUUUGGUUAAUUUUGGAGUGAGUCAAUUAAUUAGAUCGAGUUUAUUUGGUUAUAAAACUUUUAGGCCAAUUCAGGUUUGGAUCAUUUCGAUUUUAAGUCAUAUUGGCUUUAGAACAUUAGGGUUAAGUAAUUAGAUAAUCUAAUGUUCAAAUCAUUUCGAGUUACUUGUUUUGAUCAUUUAUAUUUUAAAUCAUUUCAAAUUCAAAUUAUUUUAUGUUUUGAAUUUUCUAAUCCCAAAUAUUUUUUUUGGUUCAAAUUAUUAAUUUUUAUGAUUAAAUUCACAUGUUUUGGAAUUUGAAUUCAAAUUAAUUAAUUAGAUUUGUCAAUAUUAGAAUUAAGAAACUUUCCUCCAAGUUAAACUUGUUGUAUGGCAUUAAGUUACCUACAGGUAAGAACCUGGAAGUUAGACCUAUCAAUUUGAGGUGGUAGCUAUUUUUUUUAUAAGGAUGAAAAAGUCAGUUGUUAUUUUAAGUUGCUUGGUUGUUGAAAUACAAAACUGUAUCACUAUGGCUUAGCACUACGAAAAACUAUGUAAAUAAAACUAUAUAACACCAAGGAUUCCACUAUCUUUGAUCCACAAUACAGCAAGUGAUUCAAACUCUAUCACUCCUCAAGUAUAGAGAUUUCACCUUUGUACCUAAAGACUAGAGCACUUACCUCCAAAUUCUCUCAUUGAGAAUUUGGGCAGUAAAUGCUCAACAAUGUUAGAAAUAAUAGUUUGCACACUCUCAGAAAAUAGUUGCUCAAUGAACAGAAUAAAAUGCUCUCAAUAAGCUCUCAUACAAAACCUAUACAAGCCUCCAAACAUAUAAAAAUUUUGGCUACCUAACAUAGAAUCUAAGUGAGUACAAAGUAACUCUGUACCCUCCUUAACCCGACCUAGAAGUUAUUGUUGGAUUCUAAAGGCCACAUUGGUUACCAAAAUGACUUAGUAAAAAACUUGACCAGAUUCUCAGAAACUUCCUUUUUAAAUCAGUUGCCUAUUUUAUUUUGGAAAAAUUGUAGUGGGCUUCUUUUAGUUUUAUUAUUCUUUUUUUUGUUGUUAAAAAAUAUUUUUACAUGCUUAUAAUCACCAAUAUGUAGGUUCGUCCAGUUAUUUAACUUCACCAAUUUUAACGAUAUUGAAUACAAAAUACCAAAAUAACCCAGAAUAUUUAACCCAUACCACAAUAUGUAUAAAAAGUAUUACAGUCCCAAAUAGUGAUAAAAAUUAUAUUAUUAAACUGAAAAACUAAUAUGAAACCUCUGAAUGCCUAGUCCGUGUCCUAACCUCUCAGGUUACCUAUAAGAUAGUACACUAAGGGAAUGAGCUAUAAAGAUCAAUUUGAGUCUUAAUCAUAAGAAAUCAGUGUACCAAAGAUCACAAAAGCAUGCAAGUAAACAGGGAUAACAAUCCUAACAGUGUCAGAGAUCACAGUGUUUCAAAAUAUAUAGAAUCACAAAGUUUUCAUAAUGUAUGGACAUGUCCCUGAAUGUCAGUGCAGUUUUCUACCCAUCCAUUCGUUCAUUACGGAUAAACCACCAGCAACAGUAAAUAUUUGCAGAUAAGCUGCCUGUAACCUCCCAAACUUGACCUAGUCAUUAUGGUCAAAUUCAGAAAGCUACAUUGGCCAUUGAAACGACCCAAAAAAUCUUUCGUAGUUUUCAAACAUACUUUUUAAACCAUUUACGUAAAUCGUUCAAAACUAGUGAAAUCAAAUAUUUAACUUAAUCUCGUGAAAAUAUGAGUAUUAUAGAAAUAAAUGAUUUCAGUAUUUUAUGUAUUUGUAAAAGUUUGAUCGCUAUUCAAAACUUUCAAUCAUAUUUCUAAAUCAUUUGUUUAUUUAUUCAAAACUAAAGAACAUGGUUAAUCGUUAUUAUUUAGGAAAAAUAUGUUAACUUCAGAAAUCAAAUGUCUUAAGAAACCUCAUUUGUAAACAUUAGUAAUUUGAAAACUAAGUCUAAUUUUAUUAAAAACUCUUUAUCAGAAUUGCAGUGGAAAAUUCUAAUAUUGACAUAUUUUCAUAAGAAUCACAACGAAAAAUUCUACUAUAAACAUAAUUUUUUAAAAAUUAGUAUUACAUGUAAAUUCGAUAAAACGUCAAUAGAUAAUUUUAAACCUCAAAAACUAUGUUGUAUUUUUGCCUAAAACUCAUUUUCAUUAUCAAAGAAAAAAGAGUGAUUUUUUCAAGUUUUAAUAAAAACCAAGUUUCAUGCAUAAUCUUAGCAAAUACUAAUUUAUGCAAUUUUUAAAAAUUAAUGUCAUACAAGCAAUUCAUGCAAAUCAAAAUGAAAAUCCCCAAAGUAAUGUCCCAUGCCACUGUUCAUACUUAAACUUGUUACAAUCCCAGAAUAACAAAAUAUUAAGAUAAACUUUAAUUACUUUAAUAUAAAAAGAAUUCUGGGAACUCUUCCAAAUGUCACCAUCGAAUCCUAUAAAGCCCAUUUGAGUCUUAUAACAAGUUAAAUAACAAUAAACACAUACUUAUCAUACAACAUAAUCAAAUUUGAUGCACAUGAUCAUGGCAGUGCAAUUUUAUAAAACAAUUAUGCAAAUUUUUAUAAAACAUCCUACCUAUCACCGUUACACUCCAAAAAGAGUUUCUCAGAACUCAUCCAUCCAAACACUCCAAUAGGGACAAAGCCACCAAUAUUCGCAGACAAGCUACCAUGUAGGUUGUGGAUGAAGCCACCAAUUCUUCCUCCUUACAAUAUUUUCUCCAUACAAUAUCCCACCACAUGCAUGUGAUAUGGCCACAAUGAACAUAUAUAAACAUAUAUUUCAUUUUAAUAUAUCACUUAUCAUAUUGGACAUGUUGAGACAUGCAAAUCGGAUAAUAUAAUGUAGGGCAUGUUUAACAUGCGAAUCAUAUCUCAAUUUCAAUAUCGGUGGCAUGAUUUAUAUAUCAUGCCUAUCAUAUAAUUUCAUCAUAUCACACGUCAUGAGAAAUGGGAAUAUACACGUAAUUUCACAACAUUUGUUAAAUCACAUCAAUUAACACAUACGAUCAUAAAACGAUCAGUUCGAGGUACUUACUUGAGGAUUACCGUUUUUACGGAUUUAGCAUCCCUUUUUCAAUACAUAUUGUAUUCUUAAUAUUUCAUAUUAUGGAGAUUUUUAACAAGGUUUCAAUUUUAAAUAAAUACAUAUCAUUUAAAUAUUGGAAUUAUCAUAUCUCUAUUUUUAUUUAGAUUAGACCCACAUCUGAUUUUAGAUCCAAAGAAAAACCACUCUAAGAACGCCCAGAGUUGGAUCUAAUCAAUAAGUUAUCUACUUAUCAACAAAAGUGAUCUUUCAUUAAGGAGGUCAUUUUACACAUUUUAUGGAAUAAUUCAAUUUAAUAAUACUCCAAUCAACACUUACUCUUAUAAAAACCAAUCGAAAUGCGAUCUCUUUUCCAACGUUAGUAAUUCUUCGGGUUGGUAUAGAUCAACCCUUUAACAUAAAGUAGAAUAAUGUAUGUUACUAUACGAAAGAAAAUACAUUAUAAUCCCUUAAAGAAAAUUUGGCCUAAAGGAAAAGUAGGGAAGAAAUAGUGGUUUUCAUUCCACUUCCACACUUACUCUAACUCGAUUGAUUCGAAAGGAAUGAUGGGUUAUCAGGGUCUCGAGUUAGAGAGAAAAUAAGAUCUAGAGAAAUUGGUUACUUGAAAAAGUGAGUCAAAAGUAAAAUAUUUAAAUAAAUUAAAUUAAAACUAAAGAAAAUAGGGAAAUAUGAUUCUUUUACUACCAAAGAGGAUGACAGAGAUCAAAAAAUGAAGAAGAAAAGAGAAGGAUCACCAAAGUUGGUGGAGGCAUGACAGCAAGUCGGCGGCGGUAGUCUAGUAAGAAAAAAAUAGAGGAGGAAAAGAGAGAAGCGACACUUGAGAAAGGGAGGAGAGAAUAACAAUAAAGAAAGAUGAGGAGUGGAGAAAAAAAUGAAGGGAUUUGCAUUGGUGGUGCAAGGUGGUGGGCACAGUGGUGAGUGGUGGUGUAAGGGGCGACGUUGGAGUAAAGUAGAUGAGAUGAGCGGUGACGAGGAGGAGGUCCUAUGGUGGUUUGGUUUGCAAAGGGUGGUGAAAAAUAGGAGGAAAACUAAAGAAAAUUUAAUGGAAGUAUGGGCAAAACAAAGAAAAGAAUAGAGAGAAAGGGAUGAGCUAAGGAAAGGGACGAUAAUAAGGAGAGGAGAGUAAGGAAAAAUGAAUCAAUAAGUGAAAUGUACUUUUCUAGGUACAAUGAAUAGGUUCAUAUGGAAAGGAUGGAUAAAAGGGCAUGUUGAGGGGACAAAGGAGGAAAAAAGGGAUCAUGCUUGAGUAAAUAAGUCAUGUUCACUUGAAAAGAAUGGAAAGAACCGUUCUCAUGCAUGGUAAGUGAGUUGGAUGGCAAUAGGAGUGUUGACAUGCUAAAGUUGGCAAAAAUAUUAAUAAAAAGGUUGUGAAUGUGGAGACUCAAACCUAGGACCUUUAGGAACUUCUUGAGCUCCUAACCACUAGGCCAUUUAAUUCCUUGUUCACACUCCUACCAAAAUUAUUUUAAAAACAUGGUGUGACCUUUGCUAAGCUUUGAAGCAAAAUUGCACUACAUAGAAAAUAAUGCGAGGGGAAGGAUUCAAACACUGAUCAUCAAGGACAACUCCACCACUACUCAAUCAUUAUACUUGAUACUUAUUUAUUUACAAAUGAGCAAAAGAUCAUCUAAAAAAAUUAGGGCGUGACCACUCUCGGUUCAUUAACCCAAUUUCUACUAACCUAGCUUUCGGGAUGUGAUACUGCCAGUAAUUUGUGGUUAAAUCGUUAGUAAAAAAAAUGAGCGGACGAACCGCUAGAAUGACUACAUGAAGUUGCGAGCUUUAGAUCCUGCGAAGUGUAAAGCUUUCUCCAUGACUUUCAGGGGAGAGGAAGGAUUGGUAUUUAUCUCUCCCCAGGUGUCUAUUUGGAGUUUUUCUCAAUUGGGUCAGAUGAUUUUGGUAUGGUCCAGAGCACAUAGAACAGUUAUGAGAACUCCUAUAGGUUUGAUAUUUGUGAAACAAAGGGAACGAGAGUCUCAAUAAGACUUUGUGAAAUGUUUCCAUACAGAAACAUUGAACAUAAAGAACCUUUAGGAUCAAUGGGAUAUUGAUGUUUUUAUUAUGGGAGUACAGAACAAGCAUGUAUAGUAUUCAUUCACCAACAAUAGGCCUCAAAGUUUGGAAGAUUUUUAGGAAAGGGCCCACAAGUUCGUAGAGGCAAAAGAGACAAAAAGAGCAAUACGUGGCAUUUCUAGAGGGAUGAUAGGUUGUUCAGGAGUAGAGAUGGGGCUUGCAACAGAUAGAGGCCACCUCAUCAAUCUUUUUAUGUGUAGAAUGAAAUACAAUAUAGAGCACAACCAUAAAAUGAGUCACCUAGAGCAUCUCAAAUGGCCCAACUAGAGCUCACAAUGAGGUAUAUCCCCCAGGGUAAGUUUGAAUUUUAUACUCCCCUGACUGUUACUCAUACUUAUAUUCUGAAUUAGGUGAAAAGCCUAGGUAUCUUGCCUACUCUUUCCCCUAUGACAUAAAGUGAAAAACAGUCAGAGUUGAGGGACAUGUUUGCUUUCCACGAUGAUAGGGGGCGCAAAAUUGAAAAUUGUUUCUCUUUAAAUGAUGCUUUUGAAGAAUCGAUAAGAAAUCAUGAGUUCACUGACUUUGUGGUUUGAAAUACCACUCAGUAAGGCCAAACUUCACGUACUGAAGGCAAGUGAAAGAAAAAGUUGAGAGGUACUAUACAUGUAAUUAUUGGCAUAGAUGAGGAUUGGACGACCUCCAGUGCAUAAAGGAAGGCUCACUUGAGGAGUGUAAUGUCGGUUAAUGCACCCAAAAGAAUGUGUCAGCAAGGGAAUUAGAGUAUUGAAUUUAGUAACGAGGAUAAAGAAUUUGUGUGUGAUAAAGAAGGAAAUGAUCCAAUGGUUGUUUCUACAACAAUUGUGGGCUUUGAGGUCAAGAGAAUACUCGUGGAAAGUUGAAGUGCAGUUGAGGUUUUGACCUGGGAAGCUUAUCAAAAGAUGGGAUUAAAAUAGAAGGCUUUGUUCAAAGCUAGUUCGUUGUAUGGCUUCGCAAACCAUCCUAUUGAAGUUAAGGGUUGUAUCACUUUUCUUGCAACUUUGGGCGAUGAUGAGCACAUAACAACUGAAUAUGUGCAUUUUUUUGUAAUGGAUCAUCCAAUGGGAUACAAUGCCAUCUUCGGUCGACCAAUAAUGAGAAUGGAAAAAAUGGCGAUUCCUACCUUCUGUAUAAAAAUUAAGUUUCCUACGAGAAUAGAAAUAGGGUUUAAGUAGUCCAAUCAGUGAACUUCUAGGAAAUGUCAUAUGUUCUUUAUAAAGCAUACGUGAGAGCGCACGAAGGGGGAACAGAGUUUGCAGUAGGCAGUGUUAAGUGGUCAAGUCUUGGAUUUGGAUAGCUUGGAUGCAAGAAAUGAUAAGAGAAGAAAAAAAACCUGAAGUGGAAGAGGACAUAGAGACUUUGUAGUUGUUUUACGACGAUCAAGGAAGAAUAGUAAAGGUUUCAUCAGCACUGGCACCGGAGGAGAAAAGGAGCUUGGUCCAAUAUCUAAGGGUGAACUCUGAUGCUUUUGUGUGGUCUGUGGUGAAUAUGCCUGGGGUAGAUCCGCAAUUAAUUGUCCAUAAAAUGAAUUUCUUCCCUUCGGUAAAACCUAUUAAGAAAAAAAAUGAAGGUUCGCAUCCUAAGUAGUAGAGGUAGUGAGACGGGAGGUAGCCAAAUUUUUAUUAGUAGGGUUCAUCAAAUAGGUUAAGUAUCAAAACUAGGUUUCAAGUUUCAUCAUGAUGAAAAAAUCCAAUGGAUAGUGGAGGAUAUGCAUUUAUUUCACCAACCUCAAUAAGGCGUACCCCAAGGACAACUUCCAUUUACCAUCGAUUGAUCACUUAGUUGAUGCAUCUUUAUGUCACAAGUUCAUAAGCUUCAUGGAUGCUUUUUUAGGUUACAAUCAGAUCUCUAUGGCCCCAGAUGACCAAGAUAAAAGAACUUUUAUCAGUAAGGAGGGGUUGUUCUGUUAUCAAGUUAUGCCUUUCAGCCUAAAGAAUGUAGGUGUGACCUAUCAACGGCUUAUGAAUAGAGUUUUAGAGAACAUAUUAGAUACAAUAUUGACGUCUACAUUGAUGAUAUGUUGGUGAAGGGUACAACUAUGAGAGAACAUGUGUAGAAUUUGGCAAAAGCAUUUGCUAGUUUGAGGGCUCACAACGUGAAGUUGAAACCAGAGAAGUGCACUUUCGGUGUGCCAGCUGGCAAAUUUUUGGGUUUUGUAAUUUUAGAGAGGGGGAUAGAGGUGAACUAAGAGAAAAUAUGUGCUAUCUUAGAUAUGCCUACAAAUGAUUAAAAAUAUUCAGCGUCUAACAAGGUGAGUGGUGGCACUUAACAGGUUCAUUUCCAAAAUGACAGAUAAGUGUUUACCUGUUUUCAAAGCUUUGAGGACUUCUUUCUCAUAGACCGAAGAAUGCUAGGAAGCUUUUGAUAAAUUAAAAUUGUAUCUUACCUCCCCUCCAUUAUUGAUGUCGCCAAGCGUAGGUGAAACUUUGUUUGUUUAUCUAGCGACCUCAGAUGAGACCAUGGUUGCGGUUUUGGUUAGGGCAGAUGGGGCUCGCCAGUUUCCAAUCUAUUAUGUGAGUAAGGUGUUUUAGGGUGGAGAACAGAGGUAUUUGAAGAUAGAGAGGCUUAUCUUCCCUCUCAUCAUGGUAGCUUACAAGUUACGACCUUAUUUCCAAGCUCAUCCCAUCACGGUUUUGACAAGCCAGCCCAUUAAAGGUGUACUGUCUAAAGCAGACGCCUCUGGGAGAAUAACGAAGUGGAGCAUCAAGUUAGUUGAUAUUGGCAUGCAAUAUGUCUCCAGAACAGUAGUAAAAAGCUAGAUUUUAGCAGAUUUUAUAAUGGAAUGCUCUUUUCAACAGACAGUUGACCUCGUAGGUAACUUACUGAUCAUGAUAUUAACUUGUGAACAUUAAUAUGUCCUUUUAACAUUUAAUAAAUGCAUAUGACAUACCAUUAUAUCUUAUUGUACAUAUUUAACUGAUCCAAUAUGUUUUUGAUAAUUUUUAAUAAAUACAUGUUUUUCUCUAUGCCUUUUUCAUACCCAUUGUGUUGGACAUAGUAGUUACUCUACCACAGGGGGAAGCGAGCUGAAUAAGUGUCGGCGAAGAUGGACAAUUUAUGUUUAUGGUUCUACAACAAAAAUAGGGCAUGGGGCAAAAUUUUUGUUAAUUUAUCUUGAUAAAAAUGAGUGGGAAUAUGGGAUAUCUCUCGGCUUUCAAGCAUCCAACAACGUUGUAGAAUAUGAGACUUUGAUAUCUGAAUUGUAGUUGGCUCAUCAACUUGGAGCAAGUGAGCUGAUCAUUUACACUGAUUCUAAAUUGAUCGCAAAGUAGAUGAACAGAGAGUAUAAGGUAAAAGAGUUGACAUUAAAAAAAUACCAUGACAUGGCUGCUCGAUUUCUUAUUGAGUUCGGUGAAGUGCACAUUCGGCAGUUGCCAAGAAAAGACAAUGCACACGCAUAUGAUCUUUCAAGGUUGGCAUCGUCCCUCAUUAUUGAACAAAGGGGGAAGAUACUAUUAGAGUAUAGGAAAGUCCGAAGUUAUGAUAUUGCGCAAGUAUAUAACCUAAAUUGCGAGGAAAACUGGAUGAAUCUAAUCAUGCAGACAUUACAAGGUGAGGAUGCUCAAAUAGACAAGAGAGUUUGACAAGCUCCGACCCAAAGUCAUGAGAUAUACCCAAUUAAAGGGUGUACUCAAUAGAAAGGGAUACUCUCAGCUAUUGUUGUAAUGCAUGUCACCUACAAAAGCCAAGUAUGUGAUGUGUGAAAUACACAAAGGAAUUUUUGGUGAUCAUUUGAGGGUAGACUCCUUGUAAAAAAAGUCUUUAGACAGAGGUAUUACUGGCCUACUGUACAAAAGGAUGCACACCUAACAGAUCGUCUGUACUUGUGGCUCCUCUUGAAGGCAUGAUUAGAUACAACGGCAACUAACAUAGCCCUUGUAAAUCAUGUCGAACACUUGGCCAUUUGCAACCUAGGGAAUUGAUAUCAUUUGUCCAUUCCCUAUAGCUACAACUCAAAAGAAGUUCAUAGUAGUAACUGUAGACUAUUUUACUAAGUGGAUAGAAGCGGAAACGUUGACGACUAUCAUGGAAAAACAAAUGGAAUCUUUUCUCUAGAAUUCAAAUGUGUGCAGGUUUGGCAUAUUGCGCUUGAUCAUAACGGAUAAUGGUAUGCAAUUUCAGGGAAAAUUUAAGAAUUUUUACAAGGAUUUACAGAUUGCCUUAGCUCAAAGUUCUAUCAAAACGCCACAAACAAACAACCAGCUUGAGGUAAUUAACAAAAAGAUGCUAACAGCCUUAAAGAAGAAGGUUGAUGACGUAAAGAGUGCAUAGUUGGAAGAGCUACCAAGAAUCCUAUGGGUUUUGCAAACCUUACCCCACACUAAAAUGGGAGAAACAACUUUCUUGCUUGUCCAUGGCAUGGAGGCAGUUAUUCCCGCUGAAAUAGGCUUACGAUCAUAUAGGAUAGCUCACUUCGAUGAAGCUGCGAAUCAAGAGGUGAUGACAUCCAAUUUAGACCUUAUAGAGGAAGCAAGAAAAGUAAUAGAAGUUAGAAACGCAACAAGUGCUUAGCGGGUAGCUAGCUAUUAUAAUUCCAAGGUAAAAAGUAAACAGUUUCGAGUAGAUGACCUGGUAUUACGGAAUACUGAAGAAAGUUUCCUUGCAUCGCAACAACUCAAGAUGGCACCCAAUUAGGAGGGACCCUAUAGGGUCGUACAGAAAAUAGGAUACGGAGCGUACAAGUUACCAAAAAUGGAAGGCACUGUCUUACCACGGACUUGAAGUGCUCAUCACUUGAAAAAGUACUGUGUAUAGUCUCCUCCUCUUUAAUGCAAAAUGUUAUUUAUAGGUAUCUGUACUUAAGUUAUUUGUUUAUCGACACAGCUCGUGGACCUACGUUCCCAGCUAAUGUUUAAAAUUUAUCUGAGAUUCUCACAACCUUUAUCUAUUUGAGUUAGUGGCUCUAGAAUCAAUAACCCAAUUUUCAAUUGAUUCUUCCACUAAGCAAGCUUUAACCACAAAGAGUUUCAUACCUUUGCCCUUUUCGGCUAGGUGAUCCAAGUACUCCUUUCAGUUUGAUUUGAAAUGACCUUUCAUGUUGUAGAAGAAAAUUUUGAUCUUUUUAGGAUCUUUUGACUUCUUACCCUUCUUUCUAUCUACACAAAGUGGAAUUGAAGACUUAGUUGGUUUCUUCUUUCCCUUAGCUUUCUGUUUCCCCUUAGAGGACAAGGGGCCCAUAGCUAAGUUUGCAUCAGGUUUCUCCUGAACCGGUUUACCACCAUUCAGCAUCAACUCGUAAGAUUAUAAUUCCUUCAUGAGCUGAGUCAAGGUAAGCGCCUUCUUCCCCAAGUUGUAAGCGGCCCUAAAACCAACAAACUCAUUGGUUAAGGAUUUGAACACUAUUUAAAUUUGUGUGUUCACGUCUAAUUCAGCCCCAUGCCCUCCGCUUCCGCAAAGAAUCCGAUAAGCUUAAGCAUAUGUUCUUUGACCGAAAUGCCAAUUUUCUAUUGAGAAUUCAUCAAAUUUGUAAUAGUGGAUUGUUGAGUCAAUGCGACUUGGCCUCCGAGAAAAUCCUCCAAAUUUGUUAUGAUCUCUUUGGCAAUACGAAAAUUCUCAUGUUGCUUUUGCAACACACUACUCAUACUCGCUAGCAUAUAACAUCAAGCAAUUGAGUCAGAUUCUCUCCAGUGAUUUCUUGCUUUGGGCUGAGCUUCAAGAGGGUACGUUUUGUUAAGAACGAAUUUGUGUUUCUCACAGCUGAGAACUAUCAGUAAGUUCUGUUUCCAUUCUCGAAAGUUACCCCCAUUUAAUUUAUUCUCAAUAAGAAUGCUAAUAAGAGGAGUAAGAGACAUAUUUGAAUUGAAAAAAAAAUAAAGAUUCACUAAUUAGUAUCUUUUUAUUAAGCAAAUAUUUUUCAUUUCAGCAACAUAUCAAGAAUGCAAUAUGAUGCAUGGGUCUUGUAUUACAACCUUAAAAAAAAUUUCGUUGCUACGAUCAUUCUCACACCCAUCAACCAUAUCGCAUUGGGGUCUCAUGAUUAACUAGUAAGAACAUGGAUUACAUCCAAUCAGUUCAUGAAUAUUAAUUCUCAAGAAUCCACACGAACUAACGACCGUUUAACUUUUGGCCAUCAUCUCUACCUAAAUAUCGUUUCUUGGAAAACUAUUUAAUAAAAGAUGAUCUUGAGUGUGUAACCAUUGACUCAACACCCAUCAUGAACAUGAUCUUAUUUGUGAUUCAUCUUGGGAAAAUCUCUCUGAAAGUCAUGCAUGACUAGUUUUCCUUAAAAGGAAAUCUCAUCUAAUGAACCCACAUGACAAAGUUUACCUUGGGUGCGGCCAUGGUAGGACCCUACUCAAAAAUUUAUCAUGCUAUCACUUAGGGACCAUCAAUGGAGGUCGUAGGUAUUGUUCAAGGACCUUCUCCCACUCAAAAUUUUAAAAACAAGCAAGGUUCAAGUCCUAUAUUCAUUUCUAACUCACAAUAAUUCUAUGAAUUUUUUUUAAAAAAUAGCCCCACGUGGAGAUGAUAGUCCAUGGUCUAUUUCCUAAUAAUCACAACCUCUACAAAAAAAUUAUAUAAAAAAUAUAUAAUAUCGUAUCCAUUCUCAUAUAUAACUCAAAACAUUCAUAAAAUCUAAAGAAUGUCACUUUCUAUGUAAUCAAAUCAUUCAAGAAGAAGAGAAAUUUAUUUUGAUUAUCUGUUUAUACUUAUAGGUAGAACACAAUCUAGCUCUGAAACCAAUUAUUAGAAAAAAGGGUUUGGAAAGCACAAUAGAAAAUAAGUUUAGGGAAAAAUCAAAGUUUUAACAAUUUUUUCCAAAACAAGAUAUUAGUUGUGAUAUCUAAAGUAAUAAAUACUUAAUCAAAAUUGUACCUUUUCGAUUCGUCGAGGAUGAGCGCUUCGAUCAACUAGUCUUCUCUGCUAUCCUCAGGCUCACGUUGCGAUAAUUUUGUAAUUUCUCUAAACUUUUGGGUCAAGUUGUAAAUAAAAAAAUAUCUCUAGAAAUUUUUUGGAAUAAUCUCUUUAGAGAAUUUUCUCUCUACAACUUUUUCUUGAAUUCAAGUGUGUGUAAAUAAUGACCCGAUGCUCUCUUUAUAUAGGGAGACUUUAGAAAGUUCAACUAUGAUUAAACUUAAUCACUUUAAUAUUAAAUUUAAUAUAAUAUUUAUCUGAUAAAUAUUAUAUUAAAUUUAAUAUUAAGUCUUAUUAAAAUAAUAAAAUGUUUAUAUACACUAUAAACAUUAAAUUGAAUUUAAUAUUAAGAUAAUCACUUUAAUAUUAAAUUAAUAAAAUACUAUUAAUAUAAGUAUUAAAUUAAAUUUAAUAUUAAACUAUUAUUAUUUUUGGAAUAGUUAAUUUGAAAUCAAAUACUCUGGUAGAGUCCUAGUAAGAGUAUCACUCUUCCAUUGCUCAACCACCGACGACCAAUCACCAUAGGCCACGAGGGCACCGCCGUGGCAGCCAUUAGCACCGCCGUCGUGUCUGAGUCAAUAAUGACCCACCCGAUUCAAUCUAGCCAUCGGUUGGACUGUCGGCCCAAUUUUUUGAAAUUAAAUUAUUCCUAAAGUCGUAGAAUUUUUUUCUAAUUCAAAUGCAGUUCGAUUGAGCUUUUGUUAAGCUAGCGGAUGGACCAAUCAGACAUAUACAAUUAGGCUCUAGUUAUUGUAAUUAUGUCAAAAAGCAUCGUUCCAAUAAUUCGCAAUUACAUAAUCAUGGAUUUAGUCCACAAUAAGUAUAAUGAUUGAAAACUCCUUAUUGUAUACUCUUUACAAAAGUAAUUCGUCCAACUGCUUUGUCCAAUGAACUCGUCAUGUGUGUGUUACCCUCAAUUGAUAUCCUUGAUUCCUUUGAGUUAAAUCCGUUCACUCAAUACAAUCUUAUUUUAUUGCAUUGUCACCAUUGUGUCUUCUUAAUAAUUAAUAUGAUCAUUGUCAACAAUUGACUAUGCUGAAUUGCUCAUUUGAAAAUGAGCAACUUGUGGCCACGUUCCAUAUUUAUCAAUCCACACAAUGCCAAUGAGAGGAUAUCAUUAACUCUUUAAUUGAGUUAUGAAUUCCACUGUUGCUAGUAAAGUCAUGUCAUACACAAGUCAUGUACCCAACAUGCUGGUUGUGGGCUCGAUCAUCUUCAGAGAAUAAGCCUCCACUUAUAUCAAAGCACAUGAGUUGCAUACGCAUAGCCAUGACAAACUCAGGAUUUAGGUAAAUCACACCAUGAACGUUACAAGUGAAAUAAUUCACAAAUGGGUUCAGAAUUAAUUCAUCUUAGGUCCAGUCUAAUGUAUCAUUCUACCAAUGAAUACAUCUAUGUCUCUACUCUUGGAGUCAACUGCUCCGAUAGUCAAGACUAGUCAUAUCCCUAAUUUAAAUUCUAGACGACAUAAUAAUCCUUCUCAGUAUUUGAAUCAAAUGCUCACUUUGAUUCUUUUACGGGAUUACGAACUCAUUUAGAUUAUCUACUGAAGUAAGUUGUAUUUCUCGCAUUGUCAACGUUAUUUACAAUGGCACUUAUCUUCAGUUUGAACUUUAGACAAUCAAUAAGCUAAUAUUUGCUUGUCACAAUUUCGCUAAGCAUGCAAAAUAUAAAAGACAUAAUAGUGAAAUGUGAAAUUAACUUUAUUUAUUUAUUCAUCAGUCAAAUACGUAGAAAAUAGUUACAUGUUUAAUACAAUAUGGGGACAUUUCCCAAUAGCAACCAUAAUAGUAGAAGGUCCAGUGUGGUUUGUUUUCUUUUUUCAAUGUUGUUCUAAUCUCGCACUAUCUUCUUCCUCCUCGCUACUUAGCACAACAUUAGCAACCCCUGUGUUAGUCUUGCGCUUCUUGGACAUAUCCAACAUAAAAGCUCACAUGCUCAUGUAUUCGUCGAUUUCGCGUGAUAAACUAGUAGACUCCUCUGAAUUGUCUUCAGCAUCGCGAGCUAUGCCUGCACCACUAACAAUUCUAAUAUCAUUAGUAAUAGUAAGCAAGUUAGGGUUCGUAACCAAGGGCGAGGCUUCAUUUUACAGAAACUAUAGAAGUAAUUUCUUGGUUCUUCUUUGUAUCCCAACAGUAUUAGUCCUAGGUCAUCUUUGGCCCCAGACGGCCACCUGAACCUCUCAGAAUGCACCCUAAUUACAUUAGCAACUUCAUUAUUAUCACCCUGUUUCCAUCCGUUAGGGCUAAAGUUUUCGAGGAAGUGUUGGAAUACAUUCGUCACGGUUAAGACAUCCUCCAAAUUUAGAAUACAGCCUUUGCAAAGCCUCUCAAAUUGCACUCAACCUUUUCUAUCAUAAUGUUUCGCUGAGUUAAACACACAUCCUUACUUGGCAAGGACCAUUCAGUGGGAAUACCAAAACCAUCAGUAAGUUUACACUUUACUUGAAUAUACUUACUCUGAUUCAAACGGAGAUUGGAGCACUUAUUAGAAAUUAUAGAUUCUAUGCCUUCGCGAGGAGUGAAAUAGUAUAGACCUGAUGACCUUCCUCAAUUGUGGGCCUUCAGUUGGUACAGACGUUGAAAAAUAACAAGCAGUGGCACCUUAUCGCGUUGACAAAAACCGAGGAAAUAAGCUAUCGCAAUCCACCAGGGGAACCCAGAUAACUGUUCAGGGGGCGAUCUUAUAAUCCUCAAGUAAGUGGCAGAAGAAACUGUGUAGAGGUAGGUGGAAUCCGACCUCUAUUACAUGGAGGGGGAGUAUAAAACUGUCGUCGCUGGUAUCGCUAAUUCGAUACGAUCUUAUAGGAAUAGAAAAGUCGUACACAAAAUUGGGAACUUUAAUUUCUCACACAGCUAAGGCUCGAAACAUGUCUUUAGUCUUUAUAGUGCAGACGUAGGAAUUAACCUCAACAGGAACCCCUGAAAUUGAUCGGAACUGGGCAGUGCACUAUGUUUUGGCAAGUACGACUAGAAUUUAUUGGAGUGAGUUGGUGCAACUGGUAUGGACCAAAAUUUUCACCAGUGCAGAAAAAAUGGUGUUGGGUGUUUCGCAAUGUUAUUGAAACCGAACUGAACAGACCGAGAAAUUAACCCGAGAACUAGAGUAAACUGUAAUUAAAUUGCAAAUUGUUGAUCGGUUGAACCAGUUAAACCUGUAUUUUCACAUUUUCUAAACUAGAAAAACAAAAAUUUCACCCCAAAUCCCUUAAGCUUUUGUUACACUUCAUCUCUACACUCAAUGAAAUUAAACACUGCAUAAAAAAAUAAGCAACACUUCUUUUCUUACUUUCUCUACUAAAAUAAGCUCUCCUUUUUUUUUGGUUAAAACCCUAAGUUGGACUUAUAACAUUCAAUCAAUCAAAUGAAAAAAAGAAAAAUUAGGAAAGAUGAAAGAUGGGAAAUGGUAGGUGGCAUCAUUAUAUUAGCAGUCGCAUCUUCUCGAUGUAUGGCUGCUUACUAUCUUGGUUGCAUUUAUCGUUUUAUUCUUUUCUUAAUUAGCCAAACUCAUGUUAACAAUGGUAUAACAGUAAUUAAUUACUUCAUGGAUAGAACAUCAAUAUAUAAAUACCCCAUAUAUAAUAAGCAAUAACGUAUCAAAAUAUAACAAAUAAUGGGAAUUGAAGAACUCCCGUUUAUACAAACGAAUAUAUGUGGAAGAAAUCAACACUCAAAAUUAAGACACAAAGACGACUAAAAAACUUAUUAAACCAGAUCCAGUAUGCAGCAGAUAGAAAAAAAGGGGUAUUUCAACGAGUAGAAGGAGAAGGUGGUGGAGAAAAGAAAGGAAUAGAGGGAACUGCAGUUGGGAUUGUGGGGACUAAGGGAAUGCUUGGCAGAGGGGCCAAUCCUCUUGGAAAUGUGGUAGGAAGUGGAGGAAGCACCCCAGGAUUUGGGAGAUUAGGGAAAGAUGGCAAUGGUGGAGAAGAGAAAGGAAUAGGGGGAAUUGCAGUUGGGAUUGUGGAGACUGAGGGAAUGCUUGGCAGAGGGGGUAGUCCUAUUGGCAAUGUGGUAGGAAGUGGAGGAAGCGCCCCGAGCCAUGGGAAUGAUGGUCAGGAUGGCGUUGGGAGAUUAGGGAAAGAUAGCAAACUUUGUGUUUGAGGCUGCUGCAGAAGGUGACGAGUUGCUACCCCAACAUCAAUGCUUGCAAAUGACAAAGCCAUCAAGAAUGCUAAAGCAAAGCAAUUGAAAGAGGCCAUUUUUGUUAAGAGAUUUCGAAACAAAUGAAGGAGAUUAAACAAAGUUCUUUAUCUGAAUAGUUGUGAGUGAGAAAAACAAAACAUGGUAUUGAG
rnacentral:lncRNA from 1 species